GCUCUUGACCUCAUGAUCCACCCACCUCGGCCUCCCAAAGUGCUGGGAUUACAGGCGUGAGCCACCAUGCUUGGCCCCAUUAUUUUAUUGUAUCCUUAAUUCCCUUAGCUCACCCUUGCUGAGCAUAGUUGUCUGUGGUAGAAUUAGCCAUUGGCUCCUUGCUUGCUCUUCCAGUUUGUGGUGUUUCAAGGUGCUGGAAUCCACCACCAAGAAUGGUGGCUUCCCACAAUGCCUUUUAACAAGAAUGUGUCUCUUCAAUGCACGUUGUAACUUUCUCUUUGAAUUUAUUGAAGAACCACAAAUUAAGUCUGUGUCUUUAUUGAAGCAAUUCAGGUGAUGGGAAGAGGCUCUUGAAUCAAGAAAGAAAGGAAGAACCAGGAGUGGUGAUAUUAGCAGCCAAUUGGAAAAGAAUACAAUUCCAGCAUAGCCUGCUCCUGAUGGUCACCUUGUGAAGAAUAAUGUACUGUUUGGCAUUCAGAUGCUUUAAUGGAGGGCUAAUUUAUGACGUCUGGAAAGGAAGGUAAAUUUAACAAGACAAGUUUGAAAGAAAUAGCUGUAAUUGACGAGUGCAUCAUUACAGGUUCCUCUUGGCCACGCUGCCCUUUUUUCUCUGCCACACAAUUUCUCUGAGUGGACCCUUCUUGACUGUCGAAAAAAGUAAUUAAGUCCUUUAUGAGUCAGACUGACAGCAAAAGUUAGCAAUCUUGUUACAGUAUUAAAACUUGCUUACAGGACCAAAGACUUUAUUUGGUCUUUGAAAUAAAAGUAAAAUCACCAUCUCUUUGUGGGUUUCUUUUCACAAUGAGGCAUUGAUUUGCUUUUGGAGAGAUGGGAGCCCAUUAUGAUUUUACUUUUUUUGUUGGCGCUGCUGAUAUUAAAUCAGCGUACCUCAGGUGAUGAGGUUAUAUAUGCCGUGUUUUUAACUUUCAUCUGCUUAGUGAAUUCCUUUUGUCUUUUGAUCUCUCUCAGCAACCUAGUUUUUGUUUUUAAUUUUAGAUAUGACCCUGCUUUUCCAGAACUAGAUCACUUUCAUUCUGUUUUGAAUACUUAAUAAAAGUUCCCAAAAUGAACACGAGUUUUCGUAGCCUUUUGUUUUCCAAACAAGCGAGGGCUCAUUUCUUCCAAUUAGAAUGAAACUAAAAUGCGACCAAGUCAGCAUUUUCAUUGGAAAUGUCAAGAAUGUAUUUCUACAAAAAUAUAAACUGAACUUUACCAUGUAAAGAAGGAACAAAGUCAUCUGUCGAAAAGCAACUCCAGGCCCCGGAGCUCACAGAGUGCCCAUUAUAGUCGUCCCAGAAAAGCGUUUUCUUUACCAGAGACCUUACCAGCUAGCUCAGCCUGGCACCGCAAUGGGCUGACACCAGCUCUUACUAUUCUCUUUGCUCGGGGUCUGAAAAGUAUUUUUUGGCACAUAUCUCUGAUCUUUGGUUCUCUGCCUCUACAACUGGGGGUUGCUUAUGACUAAAUGUUUUCUGUGAUAAAGUUAAUUUCUGAAGCUUUUAAUUUUUUAUGAGCCAAGUCACCUGUAACACUAACUCACUGUUGAUAAAGUCUCGCUACUAUAAAGUCCGUGCUGAGUUUUUUAAAAAGUCAGACAGUUCAGUUCUCCUGUGAAAUAGCAGAUAGUCAAUGAUAUAAUCAUUUGAAUCUGACACAUUCUUACAAUAGCUCAGCUCCAGUGCAUUUUUUAGGGGUGAGUGUGGAAAAAAUAAGCUAUGAAAAGCACUCAUAGCCAGAUGGAAAAAGAGAAGGUUUUGGUUUUCUCUCUCUCAACAGCCAAUAUGCCCAAAUCUGUAGAAUUAAAAUAAAAAGCUGUUAGGACCCAUGAUAGGCUUACAUUUUUUUCUGAGGUUUCACCUAAUGAUGAUAGUGAUCAAAAUCCUGCAUGAUCAUCAUUAGAGUUUAUAGCAUGUUUAAUUUGUGCAUUAAAAAUCACAUUAAUUGUGAUUACUCAAGGCUAUAUAUAAUAAUGACACAGAAAUAUUGUACUUUAGUUUAUAAAAGGAAGCCUUUGAAUCUUGGCUGGGCUUAUGUGUCCUAAAGAGAAAAAAAAACCUAAAAAAUUCAAAGAUUAGUUAAUGAAGAAGAAUUAAUGUUAAUAAUGUCAUAGCUCUCUCCCCUUUUAAUCCAUAAAGCCCUGUUUAUUAAUAGCAACAGCAAUAACAAGAAUGAGCAUAUUCCCUCUUUCCCCCACCAGUGGCCUUCACAGCUUGACAGAGCGCUUCAUUCUGCUGAAUGAGCAACACUCAGGACACCAGUGGCCUUCCGAGUGGGCAGAAAUUCCUUGGGCAGCUCCAGAUCCCAGCAAACCACUUAAUCAGCCUUUACAUAAAAAUCGUAGCCUAGAGAAGGCAUUUGAGGAAACUCUUCCUUAUGCUAGCCUUUUCCCCUCCAUUGUGGCCUCUGGAAUCAGUAAGGUUAAAAAGAGAACCUGACAUACUAGACUGUUUCUAUCAAACACUGAGUUUGACAGAAAAUAAGCCAGUUGGGGCCAGGCGCAGUGGCUCAUGCCUGUAAUCCCAGCACUUUGGGAGGCCGAGGUGGGCAGAUGACUUGAGGUCAAGAGUUCGAGACCAGCCUGGAUAACAUGGUGAAACCCCAUCUCUACUAAAAAUACAAAAAUAAGCUGGGCUUGGUGGCAAAUGCCUGUAAUCCCAGCUACUCAGGAGGCUGAGGCAUGAGAAUCACUUGAACCCGGGAGGUGGAGGUUGCAGUCAGAUGAGAUUGCGCCACUGCAUUUCAGCCUGGGUGACAGAGUGAGACUCUGUCUAAAAAAAAAAAAAAAGAAAAAAGAAAAGAAGCCAGUAAUAACUGUUGUCAUUGCUAAUGAUUACCAGAGAUAGAUCUACUCAAACUGCAGAUAGAAAUCCUCUGAUCAUGCCGUCACCCUGAUUGACACCAGAGCCGCACAGUUAUUUACUGAAGGGAGCCAGAUGGGCAGUGAUGGGGGCCUUGCACCACUGGAAUGGAGCUUCUGUUUGUUUCUGAAUUGCAUUUAUUUACUGCAGUGGAUUUGAGUUGCUACUUUAAAAGCUGGUUGUUGAUGUUUGGAAAAUAACAACUAAAAAUUUACAUGGAGAAAAAGUUUUUUUUCAAAGAAAAGCCUUUCCAUUUUGGUUUAAGUUGUAUAUAGUUAGCCAGUUUCUUCUACUUUUUUGCUUUCCUUCAGUCUGUCCCUUAAUGUUCUUAUUUUUAUGAUAAGAUACCAUCAUUUUUAUAUUCACUUGAAUAUGAUAGACUAAUCUACAUAUGUCUCCAAGUCUUCUUUGAGUCAUUAGAAGCUCUUUCCUGCUUGAUAGAGUUUGGGCUAUUAUUAAUUUGAUUUCUUAUUUUAAAAUCUCAUCUUUUUUUGAAUGUGAAUGUCUUCAUUUCCCCUAAUGCCUGUUCAGUCAACUCUAAUUUCUGUUUCUUGAAUCUAGGGUCAUCUUCAUUAGUUUAAUUACUGUAGAAGCCUGUUUCCUAAAUGUGCUAAUAGCAUGAAAAUGACUUAUUUCCAUGUUCUCUGUUGUGCUAUGCUAAGAAACAGGCAAAAAGAAAAAUUUGUACAAGAAGACUGAAAAACAUCUGUUUUUUUCAAAUGACCCAUUCAAAGCAGUUGCACCCACCCUCAUCCAUCUGCGUGCUAGGAUUUGGGUAUAAGGGGCUAAAAUUGGCAUAGAAGAUGGGGUGGGAAGACUACCCGAGGCAGUCAGUAGCAGAAAGAGCUGCAUUCCUCAGAGAAAGUGAAAGCCGGCCGGGCAUGGUGGCUCACGCCUGUAAUCCCAGCACUUUGGGAGGCUGAGGCAGAUGGAUUACGAGGUCAAGAGAUCAAGACCAUCCUGGCCAACAUGGUGAAACCCUGUCUCUACUAAAAAUACAAAAAUUAGCUGGGCAUGGUGGCAUGCACCUGUAGUCCCAGCUACUCGGGAGGCUGAGGCAGGAGAAUGGCUUGAACCUGGGAGGCGGAGGUUGCAGUGAGUUGAGAUCACGCCACUGCACUCCAGCCUGGUGACAGAGCGAGACUCCAUCAAGAAAGAAAAAGAGAGAGAGAGAAAGGAAGGAAGGAAGGAAGGAAGAGGGAAAGGGAAAAGGAAGGAAGAGAAGGAAGGAAAGGGAAGGAAAGGAAAGAAAAGAAAGUGAAGCCAAGGAGAGCAGAGAUGCUCACUGAUUCUGACAACAAUAGAAAUGCAUGCAGGAUCAGAAGGCUUGGUGCAGGGGCCGGGUGGAGACCAGAGGGAGGUGGGAGCAGGUUAGGGUGAAAUGAAGCAGGUAGCAGGUAUCACCUCUACUGGUAAGUAGGUUCAUUGUGUGUGAUAUGCCAGGCUGGUUUAAAGGGCUAGGGCUGGUUAUGAACAGUCCUGAUGUAAUAAAAAUAUCUUUACAAUUCACCCAAGGGUUCUCACCUAUUGUUGAAAAAGUUACCUUCUCUGAGAUGUUUGAGCCAUUAUGGUGCAACCUCUAUUCCAAAACUCCAGCUAAGGCCAUUUCUCUGCACUCCUGACUUAUAGUGUCUGUCUUCCAGUUCCCAGGACGUGAAGUUAGAAGAUGGGAUGAAUGAUAUGUUUGCAUUUGAUCUUUCUUCUAUCCCUUCUUUGCAAGAUUAUUUCACCUUGUUCCUUAAGUUUCACAUGGUAUUGCUUUUACUCCAUCGAUUACACAUCAUAAGACAAUUUGUAUCUUUAAAGUGAAGUUCUCAAAGUGUGGUAGGGACUCAAAGGUCCCUAAGGUCCUUUCAGAGGAUCUGCAAGGUCAAACCCGUUUUCACAAUAACGCUAAGACAUUGUUUGCUCUUUUUUGCUCGUGUUACCUCACGAGUGUACAGAGUACAAAUUCACCCGUAAGAUUUUAGAUUCCAUGUCGCAAGUAACCUUUAAGAAACGACCAGUUGUCAAGUUUUAGUGUCCGUCAAAGAACAUCAACAAUUGUCUAAGAAGGCUAUUGAAAUACUGCUUCCUUUUCCAUCUACAUUUCUGUGAGCCUGGAUUUUCUUUAUAUACUUUAAAGAGCAUAUCCUAACAGAUUGAAUGCAGAAGGAGAUAUGAGAAUCUAGCUGACUGCAAUUAACAGAUACAUGAAAGAGUUUUGUAAAAAUUUAAAAACUGUGGCUCUUCUCACAAAGUUUUUUUCUGGAAAAGAUAAUUUUUUUCAUAAAACAUGUAAUUUAUGUUAACAUAUAAUGGGGUUAUUGUUAUUUUAAAAUAAAUUAAUGAAUACAUAUUUUUUAAGUUUCUUGGUUUUGUAAUAUGGUUCAUCUCAGUUAUAAUCCACAUAAACAAAACUCUUUGGUGUUAUCAGUAAUUUUUAAGAGUGUAAAUGGGUCUAAAGACUAAAAAGUUUGAGGACCAUGGCUUUAAAGUAAGCAUUUGUUUGGAUACUGGAAAAAUUCUGUUUGUUUAAUGACACGAAUGCAUACCAUAAACUUGGGUAUUAAUAACAAAAGGGACUUUUAAGAGCACUUAUCUGGGCCUCUUCUUUCUUCUGUGCCAGUGGUCGGCACCUUUCCCUCCUCUUUCUAUAAACGUGAGAAACAUUUAAAUACUAUCUAUUUUGUUUUCAUAAAGUGUUUCAGGUUGCCUAUAAUAGUUUAAUAAAAGCAAGUGGUUUUGCCCUUUUUUGCCUCAGGAAUGCAAAGCCUUACAACAAAAAUUUCAUUGAUUCUCAGUUAUUUAUAAAAUAAAGGCCAAAGUACCCACUUCCUGAGAGGAAGACUGGAGAAACCCACUGUUUUCUCCCGAUUUAGAGAGAGACCUGUGACAUGGGAAGUGGCUCUGUGAUUGUCUAAUGAAGUCCUCAAGUCAGAGGGGAGACCAGGAUGGGACCUGGUUCUUUUGAGUUCAGCUCAAUCAUCUCAAAAUGUGCCAUUCUUACUGCACCAUCUUUCUUUGGUAGUAUGCCCAGUGUGUGUUUAAUUAAGAUUAACUAACAAAAGGGUGGUCAGAUGCCAUGUAUCUAGUGAAGAGGAGAUGGCUGAGAAGUUGAGUCCUGGCACCUUCUCUUGGCUUCUGACAAGUUCACCUGGAACCUUGGAAAGUUGCCCAGCCUCCCUGGCACUCUUGGUCAUCUGUCAAUGAAGACUGACCCACCUGGAGAGGUGGGAUGCAGCUUUAUAAUUUACAUGGCAAUUUUUGGCUGCUUUACCUCAUUUAAUUCUCACACAGCAAACCUCUUAAAGUAAGUAGGGCAGAUGUCAUUACUUCCAUUUUGCAGUUGAGGAAAUACCUGAGAUUAUGUGAUCAGUAAGUGAUGACACUUAAUUCUAUUCCUUUUCCUAACAAUACAAAACCUCUGCCAAUGUUUACAUGAACCACGUCUCUUGGUCCAUGAAAAAUACAUGUUCAGAGCACAGGAGAUGUAUUUGACUCCUCAAGUUGCAACUCUGAAUUAUUUCACACGGAAAUACCUGUGGUCCUUUAGAAUUGAUGGCACUGUAAGUACUAUGUUUCAGGAACAUCCUGGGCUAAGCAGAUGUUUGUGGAUUGACAUAGGUCCCUGAUCACCUCUUAUAGCAUGAUUUCUUAAAAGGGUGUUCCAGGUUCCACACAACCUAUUUAUAAAUGAACUUUUAGAACACAAGUCAUUCUGUUGUUGUGUUUAUUCUUUUUAUUUUGUUAAAUGAACCGCAUUUACUCAAUGUUCUCUAUUUUAAUGUUUACCAUUUUUAUUUAGUGACUUUCUUGAAAUAGAUGGUAUUACUAAUAUUUUAAGCAUUAAAAUAUUACUUAAAGUGAGAGCACGGGCUCUAAAAAUAUAAUAUUUAAAAAUGCUUUACUCCAUUAUUUUAAUACGUAUAGGGACCCUCCCCUCCCCCCCGAUAGAAGACAGAUUUAAUUAUAAAAUAGAAGUGAGUGGGAAAAAUUCUCUUAUCAGAAAUUUCCUAUGUAAAAAUAAAAGUUUGCUGUAUUCCAUCCCCUUUCAGGUAAAAUUUACUUGUAUUUAUAAGUAGCUAUCUAAUAUAUGGUGUAUCCCAUGUGACUCUAUAAAAUCACACACUAUUUCUAGAGAAGAUAACUGCAGGCAAAUAGCUUCCUCUAUUUAAGUUUCAUCUCAAGAAUGGAAACAUAAACCUUCCCAUAGGAAAGAUUAUAAAUUGCCUUGCUCCCUCUGCUCAUGCACAUUUUAUACCUGUCUUUAUUGUUCUCUUUAAAACUAUUCAGCGUUAACCCCACACUUUCUUAUAUUCUAGGGGGAAAUACCUUUCUAUAACUAUUGAAUUAUGGGACAAUGCCUAUUUUUUUUCUUUUUGAUUCUUUAGAAGUUCUUAAAACUUUCAAAAACAGACACAUCUGCAGAAAAGAUCACAUACUAAUACACUACUCUUAUUUGCCUUUUUCAUUGCAUUAGAAGCCUAUUCUGCCAGUGAGGACUUCGUAUCAUUGUAUGUAGCUGUGUGUGUCUUGAUGGUUGUGUCCAUCAGUGCUCUUUAAAGCAUGGGAACGUGGGAAGGCUCCCUCCUGGUUGAGGCCCCAAGCUGGCAAGGUGAUAUCCCACAUAAUCCCAAACAAAUUGUUCUAUCUUUAGAUAAGCAGAUAUAGUCAUAAUUACCAUUAUUGGCUCACUCCAUUACUUAAUAAUAUGGAACCCAAUAGUUGUGAAUUCCUUUGGUUAAGCUAUGUUUCCAUAGAAUUAAACUUAUUGAUUUAUUAAUAAUUAUUUUGUUUGGACAAUUUAAAGUCUUUUAAUGCCUAUCUGGUCACCAACCUUGUAGUUUUUAUUUUCACUCCAAUUUUCUGAAGUAGCAAUGUACGUAACAGGAAUUCUGAAUUUAAAGACAUGGAAAAUUCCAUUUAAUGAGGUACUAAUGAAGAAAUACUGUCCUUUAAUUACAAAAUAAGAAUUUUGAAUAUGACCUAGUGAAAGCUGAAGAAGCCUGGACCUCAAAUUAUUUCCAGCCAAUUUACCUUUGAGGGUAAAAUUUAUUCUUGUUUUACUUAUGUAUCAAACAAUUUAUUCAAACCCUGAUGAAUUACAAAUAUACAAAUAUAUAUUUAAAAACCAUGGGAUUUUUAAAGGCUUCAAAAUUAAAUAUUUAAUUGUGUGGUGAUGUUUAAAUAUAGUAAUAUUCUUUACAAUUCUAUGAGAAUAAAGGAGGGAAGAUGGAAGGCUCAUUCAUUUCCUUGAAAUAAUGUAUUCGUAGGAUAAAAUAUGGUAUUUCUUUCUUAACUGUAUAUGGAAGGAUUGUGAUUCCCCAAAUACACUGGACUCUUUCAACAAAAGUAAAUAUAACUGUGCAUUAAAACAUACAAAUGAUCAACAAACUAUAUUACAAGAACAUGCAUAUGUGAAUUCCUAUUAAUAUUGAAAGCACUGAACCAUUUUCUUCACUCAAAGUUCAGGGUAGGUUUGCUAGAAUUCUGUAAGAAAGAAUCUGUAAGGAGAGAAUCUUUCCCUUUUUUUUUCAGAGAAAAGUGGGGGAGCAAGGAAGACAUUUUAAGUUGGCCAGGUCCCUAGUGGCUUCACAUUUUUGUCUUCUUUGAAAUUGAGAAAAUGAACAAAUGUCUUGUAUUCCGUGUACUGAUAUUGCAUGCAGUCAGUUUGAUGAGUCAUUAGAUUUCAUGAUUAAUUUUAAGAAAUCUUUCGACCUCUUCCUCCAUUGGAGUUCUCACUGCCACUACUCACACUACAGAAUUAGUACUCAGGCCCUACUGAUGACAACUUUAAAGUGCACCUGGAUCACCAUUUAACAGGUGUUCCCACAACAAUUCAUUUCUCUGCACUCAUAACCAUGCCUAGCUUGUGAAUUUCUUGAAAGUUGGGUGCCUUAUUUUAGCCGUGAUAUAAAUUGUUUUCACAACUUUAUUGAUAACUACACUGGUUGGAAAAAAACUCAAAGCCUUCCUGACAUCGAAAUAGAUGAUGCCUUUUAGGCCUGGCCCUGAGUUAUUGGAGAAGAUUAGUAUGAUAUAAUUUGAUCUUUAAGAAGCCAUUCUAUUUAUUACCAUGUUUUUUCCCGAAGGAGUUUGCAAUUGAUUGUGCCCAAAAUUAUCAAUAUUUUGGUGACAAACUUUGUAAGAAUAAAAUAUUAAAUACUCUCAACUUGAGUAAGAUGGCUUCUGGUGCAACUCAGAUUAAAAUUGGCAUGGAGCUAUAUGGUAUUGCUGAUGUACUUUAUUUCCAGUGGUGUGCUGGAGCCGCCUCCCACCAGCUCCCGUGAGCUGAUCAUGCACAGCUUUUUCCAACUAUGCUUUCACCUUGGUAGUCUGAAAUCAGCCAUGUUAGGAGUAUUUACACCAAGGAAAUUGGCAUAUGCUACAAAUCCAUCCCUCUGCCCCAUGAGAACCAGUUGUUAAAAUAUUUACUACUGCUUAAAAACCAAGAGAUAAUAAAUUUACAGUUCUUAGAUUUUUCAGCAGUAUCUACUGAGAAGCAAUCACAAAGGAAAUAUCAGGUAAGGUCUUUGACUUUGAGAAAUCACAGGUUUAGCCAAACCAUCUCCAUCUAAGCAUUUAUCAAAUUUCUCUUUAAACUUGAAAAUCAACUGAAGAAUUUAAGUCAAGUUUAGAAUAGAUAAAUAUGUCUUUGAGUAUAUUUUACAAUGUCUGUUUGAUUUAGUAGAUCCUUCUGGGGACAGGUCUUUCUAGAGUUUGGAGAGUUACCAAGUUACUAAGGUGUAUUUCCUCAGGGCUGCUUCUUGCUUGUUCUCAGAGAAGUUGGCCAAUCACUGACAAAAUGCAUUUCUUUUCCCCCUUUUCCUGUCGUUUGUUUUAUUUUUAAGCUAGCACUUGUAUUUUGGAAAAAUUAUUUACUCAAAGAUAUCUUGGGCAGGAAAGAAAAAUGUUUUACUUCAGUUAUUUAUUGGAUCUCUAUAAAGCAAUAUGAUUUCUCCUAAGGCUAACUAUAUAGUAGGACUAGCAUCAUAAAAAAGUCAUGUCUUUAAAAAUGCCAAAAAUUUGAUUUUUUGUAUAGAAAGAAAAAAAGAGCCCCUUUAUUAAUCAAAUAUAUGUCCCUUUAAAAAUGUUUUGAGGGUAAAUUUAUAGAAUCAUUUCCAAUGUGUAGACAACUGCCAUCAAAUGCAUUCUUAACAAUGAUUUAAAAUAGAAUGAACUGUAAGUGGGAAAAUUGCUAAGGAUGAUAAUCUCCUGAUACAACUAAUAGGUAAUUAUUUUAAGUCAAAAUGUUAAUUCAUCAAAAUCAGUUUCUUAAUUCAGAUAUGGUUGUUAUCAAGACUUUGAAAAUGAUAACUUUCUUUUCAUCCUAUCCAAAAUUCUAUUUAAAAUUCUUUAAUCCCUCGGGGUAGGAGGAGUAAUCUUGAGCUCUUGCCUUCUCAUCUACAUUUUUCUUUUCUGACUGUGUCUAUAUGCUGUAACUUAGUGCUCAGCCCAUUUCACAUAGCAGGUGUUUUUUCCCUAUGUAACAUAUUCUUAGAGGGAAUGACUAUAACAAGUUUAACCAAGGGCAUGUUAAGAAAUUGGGGAGGGGACUGUGCCUUGGCUAGGGAUAACCUUUUUUGUUUUAAUCAUUUUUUUUAAUUUAAUUUUUUAAACUUUUAAGUUCAGGGGUACAUGUGCAGGUUUUGUUAUAUAGGCCUUGUGCCCACUAGUUAUUUUUCCUGAUCCUCCCACCCUCUCCACUCUGAUAGGUCCCAGUGUCUGUUGUUCCCCUCUAUGUGUCCAAGUGUUCUCAUCAUGUAGCUCCCACUGGUAAGUGAGAACAUGCGGUAUUUGGUUUCUGUUCCUGCUUUCGUUUGCUAAGGAUGAUGGCCUCCAGCUCCAUCCAUGUUCCUGCGAAGGACAUGAUCUUGUUCUUUUUUAUGGCUGCAUAGUAUUUCAUGGUGUAUAUGUACUCAGCCUAUUUUGUUUUAACUGAAAGACAAAAACAGGGUCAGGUAAGUCAGUUAAUUUUUUAAAGUAUUGUUUAUUUUCCUUUGGACUUGAAAGACUUUUUUUUUCUUUUUUUUAAUUGAUCUCAGGGGAACUUCUAUCAUCUAGAUGACCUUAAAUUUAGCAUUUCUUCUACCAGUCAUCCAACUAAAACUGAUGGCUACUCUUGGGUGGGUGUUACGUACAUUCUAGGCCUGUGUGAGCCUUAUAUACAUUAUUUCAUGAGGUUGGCAUUAUUAUAACCCUUACUUUUUAGAUGUUGAAACAGAAGGCUUGGGAAUUUAACUACCUUGCCCCAGGUCUCACAGUUAGCAGCCGCUGAGCCAAAACCCAUCUGCAAAGGGGGCCUAGUGUCAGUAACCCCCUCAUAGGGUUGUUUUGAGGAUUAAAAGAAAAAGCAAACAGAAAACUGUCCAUAACAGUGCCUCCAACAAAAAUAAGCACCAUGUUGGAGCAUCAUCAUCAUCAUCAUCAUCAUCAUUAUCAAAACUAGGUCAGUAGGAUCCCCACAGCAAUGCUGGUAAGGCCUGCAUAAAAUGCCAAGUGAACAGAAUAGUUGUGGCAUUCCUUCCCGCUCACAUGGCUGUAGACCCAGAAGAUCUCCAAAUGAGGCAAAUGAUAAUAAAUGCCACAGAUUUAUAUGGCUCUGGCUCUGCCUUGUCAGGUUAAGAACAGCUUCUCGUGGUAUAGGGCAGAGUGUUUUAGGCUGUUUUUAGGUCUGAGAUCUUUAUUUUAAAAUUGAAAUUAAACCAGGCAGGAAAGAAGUCGUAAGGGACAUGUGUUUGAAACUGUGGUGUUUUCUGAGCAAACUUGUCUGUAAUUUAAAAUUGAACCUAGAAAAAAAUCAUUGCUCCAUUCAUUUAUUUAUUUAUUUUAGAGACAGAGUCUCACUUUGUCUGCCAGGUUGGAGUGCAGUAGCACAAUCAUAGCUCACUGUAAACUUGAACUCCUGGGUUCAAGCCAUCCUCCUGCCUCAGCCUCCCAAAUAGCUGGGACUGCAGGUACACACCACCAUGCUGGCUGAUUUUAAAAUUCUUUUGUAGAGAUGAAACAUUUUUUUGUCUUGCUGUGUUGCUUGGGCUGGUCUCUCAAACUCCUGGCCUCAAGUGAGCCUCCAUCCUUGGCCUCCUAAAGUUCUGGGAUUAUAGGCAUGAGAGCCACUGACAUUUGCUUUUGAGCAGGUGGAGAAAGGAGACAGGAAGGGCUGACAUCUUAGGGCUGUUUGGUAGGCACGACCUUUAAGGCGAAGGUUUUGUGCAUUUCAACUCCCUGAUUUCCUUUCCAACUUUUCAAAUAGCAACUCUUGAAUUCAAACAUGACAAUCAGAGAGUAGUCUUCCCUCACUGGCACUCACCACAGACAGCCCAGAUGUCACAAAGCAAGACCCUCCUGGUUAAAAAUGCCUGAAGACCACUCUCUAUGUGUUUGUUCUCAGAACAUAUUUUGUUUGUUUUGUUUUGUGUUUUGAGACAGGGUCUCGCUGUGUCCCCCAGGCUGGAGUGCAGUGGCAUGAUCUCAGCUCACUGCGACCUCCAUCCGCUAGGCUGAAGUGAUUCUCCCACCUCAGCUUCCUGCGUAGCUGGGACUAUAGGCGGGCACCACCAUGCCCAAAUAAUUUUUUUUUUUUUUUUGGUAUUUUUAGUAGAGACAGGGUCUCACCAUGUUGCCCAGGCUAGUCUCGAACUUCUGGGCUCAAGCUAUCCACCCGCCUCAGCUUCCCACAGUGCUGGGAUUAUAGCCGUGAGCCACUGUGCCCAGCUCAAAACGCAUUUUUGAUGUACAUAAGCAUUCCCAUAUUCUAGACCAGAUUCUUUCUUUACUGGUCUCCUUUACCCAAAGAAAAUAAAUCUAUCCCCUAAUAUUUACAGGACAUUGAUGCUUUCUUAUGCAUUAUCUGAGAGAUAAAAGGCAAAAUCUUCUGGUUUUGUAAGUGUGUCCAAGUUCAACUAGACUCAUAUCUGUUAAUGCCAGCAAAGCAGGAGGGGGGAGUGUUUUGGGGAGAAACAACUCAUCUUUUAAAAAUAUCCUUACUCAUUGUGUAUUGUAUUUUGUGUUACUCAUAUUAUAUGAAAUUUAGGACUAGAAUAAUAAACAUUUUUCUCUAGAGCAAAUGAAGUAUUUUGCUGAUUUUUCAUGUAUAAAAAUGUCCUACCUACACACAGUCUUGAUGAUUUUCACUCAAGAAAUGAAUUUUCUUGAAUGGGAAUAUUUUGUGGUAGGGACACCAGGAUAAGUCUUGUUAAUGGGGAGAAAAGCAUUUUUCUUUAUAUUAAUGUUAUAUUUUGUAUAAAUUAGAAAUUAAUCAUUUAGAGUUUGUUACAUCAACUUUGAUGUUUUACUGGAAAGCAGUGGUUAUAAAUGUCUGUCUUCCAUUUGUGUUCUUAAUACGUGGUCAUUCUUAGAGAAAACUCUUCUCAGAUAACCAGGCAACGAAUGGAGGGACUGUUCAGGGCCUAUCUAGGGAAGCAGGAUGUAGGAUUAUGAUGGGCCUCAGAGGCAGGCGUGUGAUGUUAUCUUCAAAUGAGCUUAUACAUAAAGUUGUGCUUUGUGUUAAAGGCACUGACUUGAUAAAUGUGAACAUUUAAAAUAUGUCACAUUUGGGUAAUUCUGCUUUGGCACUGAAGAACUUUGAAAAAAUAGAAAUAGCCCAGGCCUCCGUAGAAAGAGCUUUGUUGAUUUGUUCCUGAGUGUGAAGAGCAGUGAUUUGGGCUGAGAGAGGACUCCUGCCCCUGGAUAAGCAUCUGGGCCUGUGGGUCACAACUGUGGCUCCCCUAGGAAUCCUCCUGGAGCUUUGACAUCACUAAUUUCUGGUUUCAGCCCUCAUGGUUCUGAUUUGACUGGUCUGUCGUGCAGCGUAGGCGUGGGGAGUUUUGCUCCUCAAAGGGUGUCUGUGCAUCAGCAGCACUGGUGGCAUCACCUGGGAGGUGUUAGAUACACAGAUUCUCAGGCCCCACCCUAGCCCUGCUGAAUCAGAACCUGCAUUUCAACAAGAACCCCAGGUAUACAUGUUAAAGUCUGAGAAGCACUUUUUACAGCCAUCUUAGGCCGAUCGGUCUGAAUGUCACCUGAAAAUGAAAGUGUUCUAGGAUUGGUUGUUUUCCGUCACCUCCACUAGACUGUCAGCCCUGUGAGGGCAGGACCUGUUUGGUUUAACACUCUUCUCCCAGCUCCCAUGAGUGCACCAGCCCUGCCGGGGCUUGUGUGGGUUCUGCCAGUGUAUCCCCCAGGGACUCUCCUUGCCCUGUUCCCACAUCAGGCCAGCCCUCUUUCUUCUGAGACCCUGAUGGCCUUGCUGCUUUGUGGUCCCAUGAGGCAUCUCUGCUGGUCUGCCCAUCUAUACCUGGUAUUGCUCCUAUGUUUUUGCUCUCAGAGGGCCAUCUUAUUGCUCCCACUUCCAGCUUCUCAAUAGGGCCUCAGUGUAAUCUUCAUGAACUUUCCAAAUUGUUUUUAGUCUCACAAAGCCCACUUCCAUUCAUUAAAGACCCUGAGCAGGUUGGAGAGCAUUUAUAGUCACAGCUGAGUCUGUGAAUAUAACCAACAACUGUGAUGACCCCUCUGUUAAUAAAUAACUUGGACAUCAGCAAAAAAAAAAAAAAAAAAAAAAAAAAAAAAGCAGGGGGAGGAAAGGUAUAAAAGAUUAUUCCAAAGUAUUAAUUGUUGGCCACUGGAAAAAUAAUGGCUAAUUCUGUUGGUAGAAAUAAAGAAGCCAAGGUAGGGAUCAGUUGGGGAGGGUGGGGACAAGGAUAUGCCUAAUUUGCACUUGCUGAAUUCGAGGGAAGGAUAGGUAUCCAUGUAGAAAUGUUCUGAACAUAGCUGGGGGAUAACAACAUGGGAGGUCCCAGUUAUUACUGCAAAACCUCUUUUAGAGUCUCUUGACCUAGAAUGUUAUCAUUCUUUCCAUUCUUCCUGAAACAUUAGAAGGAAAUGGACUAUGGCUGCCCAGGGCCCCUUCUCCUCUAACUUAACCAGGAAGAAAAGAGAAGAAUGGUUCUGUUUUCAUAAGUUAGUGUGAGGGGACAAUCUAACAGACAGUAUCUGAGAGGAACUGGUUUGAUUUCAUCCACUCUUAUUUAAUUCCUUUUUUUUUUCUUUUUGAGAUGGAGUCUCACUCUUGCUCAGGCUGGAGUGCGGUGGCGCGAUCUUGGCUCACUGCAAACUCCGCCUCCCGGGUUCUAGCGAUUCACUUGUCUCAGCCUCCCGAGUAGCUGGAGCACAGGCGCCUGCCACCGCGCCCGUCUAAUUUUUGUAUUUUUAGUAGAGACAGGGUUUCACCAUGUUGGCCAGGCUGGUCUCGAAUUCCUGACCUUGUGAUCCACCCACCUUGGCCUCCCAAAGUGCUGGGAUUACAGGCGCAAGCCACCGCGCCCGGCCCACUCUUAUUUAAUUUCUAUUAUGCCCUCUCCGGUCACGUGAUAACUUACAUGCCAGUGUGCGAUGUGGGAAAGAAAAAGAAGGCAUCAGACAUCACGGAAGGGCUCUGUAUAUUUCUCUUUCGGAACCACCUCCAUUGACCCUUAUUACACAAACCCUGACUGAGCCAAGGAGCCCAAACAGUGCAGAUCUAAGAACUUUCGAAGACUACCUGCCCUGACAGCUAUUUCAAUGCUAGCGGGGAAUUUCAGCAACAACCAAUUUAACUGAGCACAAAUGAUGUGCUGACUGAAGUUUGGUAAAAAGCAUGUAGUUGAGAUUCAAAAGUAAAUGCUGUCUCCUCUCUGAGUUGCUUGUGAUUGUUAAUAGACUGAAAACUGACCAAAUUGGCAAGAAAGCAAAUAGUUUUACUUAUAUGGCUAUACAAUUAUCCUCAAUUACUAAAUUCAGUUGGUGAGCACCAUAAUUACUUUGUAAUAUAAAGGGCAACCUGGGGAGAAGAGAUUUUUUUUUUUGUUGUUUGGAGGUAAGUGGCCAUAAAUAACUAAAUCAGAAAGGAUACAGCACGGAUAUACAGUUUUUGUUGUUGUUGUUGUUUUUAAGUAUCAGAAAAAUAAAUACAACCUUUCAGGAUGCUUUGCAAAUGUAGGGAUUUUGUCACUAAUAGAAGUCUUUGAAAUACAUAUCUGGAAUGACAGCAAUAGUCAGUCAGUGUGUGCUUCAGGAUGAAUUUAUGACCUGAAUUUGGUUUCCCAUGCUUUCUUUAACACUGUGCUACUAUGGCAAAGUUAUCAUUUCUUUUUUUUAACACCUAACCAUUUUUCUGGUGGAUGGCUUCCUAUGUCCCCCUCCCCCCAGCUCUUUCCCCACAGCCCAUAAAAGGUUUUCAGGAGAUUAGGCAAUCCCCAAAACUGCCAAUGAUAGUAUUUUGCUAAUUCUAUAAAUAUUUCUGUAGACUUCACUCCAGUGAGACAUAAUUUCAGCAGUUGGAGUAAUGGGCUUUCCUGCUGUUGCGUGCAUUCAGAUCGAAAGCUCUCUGACUUGCUGCGCAAUUACUCCUAUGUUUCUGCAUUUCUGCUUCGUGACAUUCUGUCAUUAGUCUUCCCUGCACCAGGGUGUGAGGUUGUAGGGAAUGGAAUGUAAACAUUGUCAUUCUGAGAUGAGCUGCCCGAAAGUUCAGCAGUGAAAAUAGCAAGAAUAAGUUUCCUUCCAGAACCUGGCAAAGCCAUUUUGAUUUGUUUGUGAACCCAGGUGGGGCUUGUUUAUUGACAAACUGUGAUUCUUCAGAUCACCAGGUGAUGUUUACAAAAUGUAAUGUUAAAUCCCUCCAUACCUCUUUAAAAAUGUGUCCCCAUAUUUGCAAGUUUCUCAGAGAAAGGGCCACAUAGUUAAGCAGCUGCUGGUUUGAAAUGUAAAGUACUUAGAAAGUACCUAAGGAAAAGAGCUUUAUAAUAAAUUUUUUAAUCAAAAUUUUGAACUCACCUUGUGCAGCUUUGCUCACGGGGCAUGUUCAGCUCAUGACUAAUGGUCACUCUUACUUGACUUUGCCUAUUUUCUUCCCUACUUCAUUUCCCCCAUGCAUUGUACCUUUAAAUUGUCCCGCUCUAAUUUGGUAUCUCUUGACUUCUGCUUCAAACUUUUAGUUGUUUCCGAAGCAUGCUAAGCAAAGUCUGUGUUUAGCUCCUGACCGAGGCUUGGUGUUGACUGUGGGACAUACUUACAGAAUAGCAGCUCUACUGCUAGGUGUGUGUGUGUGUGUGUGUGUGUGUGUGUGUGUGUGUGUGUGUGCGCGCGCGCGCGCGCGAGUGCGCACAUGUGCAUGCAUGAGGGACAGAAAGAGACAUCUUGUUUUUUUUUAGACUCUAGCUUCCAGGAGGUCAGGAAAAAUAGUGGCUCUAGUUUAAUUAACAUCCUGUUUUAGCACCAGUUACAGGGUCAUUACCACAGUAAAUGUUAGAUGUUAGACUUUAUCUCUUCUCCAUCAGAAUUUCACUUUCCACAGGAUACUGUAUUUCUUUCAGGCUAAUCUAUAUUUUAAUGGCUUCUAAAUUGUCAAUUGAGAUGGUAAUUAGUUCUAAUUUAGUGAUAAUGCUGUGAACAUGGAGUAAGAAGCUAAUUGACAUGGCAUGCUACCAACUAGAAUUUUAUGAACUAAAACUUCUUAUCUCUUGCACAACAGUGAGUGUUCUCAUUAUAAAGGUGCCAUUCAGGAAGGGAGAGUGGCUUUGCCCACAGGUGUUCGGUACCUUGUGGAUACGUUGCUGAUUGCUAGGUGAUGGCCAACUUUGACUUUCCAAGUCGAACGGGUCUCCCUUAAACCUGCUUUUGGAAACUUGUACUAAAAACCCCUCCUAUAUGCAUAUUUAGUUAGGACAUGUUUGUUUCCAGUUGCGUUUGUUUUUCCUACUAGAUAUAAGGAAUUCCUAUGGAGGCUGAGGGAUAUACAAGCAGGAGAACAGCAAUUCUCUGUUCAACACAUCUGGAUUCUGGUAGAAUAGCAAUACAUUCACUGAAAAGUUCUUAAUAGUUUACAGAAGACUUGCACAUAUGUGACUUCAUUUGAUCUCAUAAUUGAAGUCAGGGCAGGCAUUAUUAUACCCAUUUUAGAGCUGAAGAAACAGAAGUUCAGGGAAGUUAAAUAGUUUGUCCGUGAUUAUUUGACUGGGUAAGUGGGAGAGCCAAGCCAAGGACUGGAGUCUUCUGACUCUUGCUUCAGGGUUUUUCUCCCAAUUACAUCUUAUUUCUCUGACCUGUUCAUCCAUAUAAUCUUAUUCUGUAAUUCUAAGCAAUUGCUAUUUCCUUAAAAAUUCGGAAAAAUUACAUAACUAUAACUCAACUAACUCAUUACCUUUUUACAUCCAACCCCCAGACUCUGGAAUUAAAUUUUCCUUCAGUACUUACCCUACCCUAGCUCAAGCUCAGAAAAACUGUCUUGGAAAAAGAGGUAAAAAGGACAGAAAGUAAAGAGAAUCAGAUUGAGGGGUGCUUCUGACUUUUUUUUUAAAGAAAUUUUGUCAUACAACUCCCCUAAGAUGUGAGUCCUAAGGUUAACCAGAGUAGUUUUUCAAAGACGCAGCUUGUCCGUUACAUUUGCUGCUCCGUGGCUGAUCCUGUCCUGGACUAGCCUACCAGAACGUUCUUUAGCCCAUUCAUUAGAUGAUCUAGCUCCUGAAUAUCUAGCACACAGACAGUCUUAAUCCCUGAUUUGUGUUUGUGUAUGUGUUUGACUCUGAUUUGCCUUUCAGAUAGAUUCCUUAGAAGCUCUACCAGAAUGUGGACAGGAAAACAGUGGUGUGAGACCCUAACAAGUCAGCUCAGCUUUUUGUCAGCGGCUGUUACUGCCUGGGCAGGGUAGAAGUCAUUGUUGAAGAUGAGGUCUUUCGGUUACCAGGCAGUUUUUUACAUCCUUCCUUGCCCUCCUCCUGCUCCUUUAAACCAGUGGGAGAUGAGAAAGCCGAAGCUUUAUCUGUGUCUCUCUGUUAGUUUAUUUGUAAACUGCAGGUCAAAAAGUAAUAUUAUGUAUAAAAUCCAGACUAGACAAUUGCUCGUUUCAUGCAGAGAGGGUUUUAAAGGAAAUCAGCUGACUUCCUGACUUGCUGAAUGAAGUGUGAGUUUUAGUUUCUGUCCUGUUAGGAAAUGACAUGUGAAUAGAGUUCUUGUAUAAGCAGGCUUUUAUUUUUGUCAAUGGUUGGAAAUUUGGGAAAAAGAGAAGAGAGGUCUGUUUAUUUUAGCAUAUCAAGAUUCAUUUCUGUGGCACACACGCAGAAAUGGGUAUUUCUGAGUCUUGGUGGUCUCGGGCCUUGAAAUUCCAUUUCCUCUCCUCUCCUUCUCCCAGAGUUGUUGGAUUGCCAUAGCAACAUGACUCCUCCCCCACAACCCUGUAAGAGUAACUGGUUACAGAUUUAGCAGCAAGUCAGGCCGAGAUCAAAAUCCAAAUAUAGGGCCCUGAUCACAGAAGGUGGGAGGACUGAGGCCGAAGACUGCUCUGUGUCCCUUCCUGGGGCUGCAUGUGAAGUGACAGGCGCUUUGCCCGGACGGUCUAGGUGGUGCUGCUUGGAGACUCCGCCGGCCUUCAUGAGCAUCACUGCCAUGUCACAGAGGGGUCUGCACCAAGGAAGGGAAUUGAAUAAUGGCAUGGAUGAAGAAUAUUUACUGCAGCAGUAUAACUCUGCAUCAGAUGAAAUUGCUGAUGCUCUGAAAGUCAAGCAUGAGACUAUUGGGGAAGCAGCUAUGGAAAUAGGCCUUCAGUAGGUGCUAUAAAAAUAAAGCAUGCUCUGUCCCCAAGAAUGCUUCCUAGGGGAGUCUUUGGGAUGCUGAAAAUGGUGAUAAUCAUAUCAACAAUUGCUCAUGUUGAUUGAGUACUUAGUGUGUACCAGGCAUUGUACUAAGUACUUGAUAACUCAUUUAAUCCUCCUAACAACCGUUUGACCUAUGUGCUGCUAUUUUACAGAUAAGGAAACUGAGGCACUGGGAAGUUAAUGAACUGCCUCAAAGUUAUGUAGCUUGUAAGUGGCUGAGCUGGGAUUUGAACCUCUACAGUGUGGCUCCUUAAUCCAGGUUCUUCAUUCUCAUAGUAUUGUCUCUAAUGGAUCUGUAUGGGCUCAUAAAUAGGGUGUUCAAGGAACCUUAACUGUAGUUUUGGUUUUUUUUUAAACACAAAUAUUGUUACAGGUUGAAUUGUGUCCUGCCUCCCCCAGAAUGUCAAAGUUCUAACCUCCAGUAGUUAUGAAUGUGACCUUCUUUGGAAAUAGGGUCUUUGCAGAUGUAGACAAGUUAAAAUGAAGUUAUGACGUGAUGGUGGGCCCUAAUCCAAUGUGACUGGGUAUCCCUAUAAGAAGCCGACAAUGCCAUAUGAAGAGAGACACACAGGAAGAGCACCAGGUAUUAAUAAUCACAGAGGCAGAGAUUAGAGUGAGGCAGCUGCAAGCCAAGCAAUGCCCAGGAUUGACGGCCACCACCAGAAGCUUGGAAGAGGCAACGACAGAUUCUACUUAGUGUCUCAGGGAGAGCAUGGCCCUGCUGACACAUCUUGAUUUCAGACAACCUGAUUUGUUUUCAGAACUGUGAGAAUAAAUUUCUGUUGUUUUAAGUUACCCAGUUUGUGGUAUUUUACAGUCAUCCUAGGAAGCUAAUACAAAUAUGUUUUUAUUGUACCAGAUUCAAUCAGUAAGCCCCAGUAUGGCAUACAGAGUGAUACAUGAAUAUUUCGUUUUAUCUGUCCCUUCCCAUCUUAUUGGUAACUGCUAAUGACAGUUUAUCUCCUUUCUAUGCAUGUAUAUUUAUGUUAGUUUUUAUAUAAUGAACCUAUAUUAUAUUCAUUUUCUGCUAUUCUUUUUUUUCUUUAAAGCUUACUGGUAUAUUCUGGAGAUCUCUAAGUAUUUGGCUUAAAAAUUUUUUUUUCAAUUGCGGUAAAAUACAGUUUAUCAACUUGGCCAUUUUUAAGUGUACAGUUCAGUGGUAUGAAGUGCAUUCACAUUGUUAUGCAGCCAUUACCACCAUCCAUCUUUAGAACUCUUUUAAUCUUGCAAAAAUGAAACUGUGUGUGUAUAUUAAACAAUCACGCCCCAUUACUUCCUUCCCCUGGCACCCACUGUUCUAUUUUCUGUCUGUAUGAAUUUGACUCUUCUAGAUACCUCAUAUAAGUGGAAUCAUACAGGACUUAUCCCUUUGUGUCUGGUUUAUUUCAUUAGCAUAAUGUCCUCAAGCAUCAUCAUGUUGUAGCAUGUGUCAGAAUCUUCUUCCUUUUGGAGGUUGAAUAAUAUUCCAUUGUAUGUAUAUAUGUCAUUUUGUUUACCCACUCAUCUAUCAGUGGACACUUGGGUUGCUUCCACCCUUUGGCUAUUGUGAAUAAUGCUGCUAUGAACAGGGGUUUACAAAGAUCUCUUUGAAAUCCUACUUUCAAUUAUUUUGGGUAUAUAUCGAGAAGUGGAAUUGCUGGAUCAUAUGGUGAUUCUAUUUUUAAUAUUUUGAGGAACUGCCAUACUGUUUUCCAUAGCAGCUGCAUCAUUUUACAUUCCCACUAGCAAUGCACAAGGGUUCCAAUUUCUCCAUAUCCUUGCCAACCCUUGUUAUUUUCUGUCUUGUUUUUUAAUAGUAGCCAUCCCAAUGAAUAUGAGAUGAUAUUGCAUUGUGGUUUUAAUUUGCAUUUCCCGAAUGAUGGGUGAUGUUGGCCAUCGUCCCAUGUGCUUAUUAGCCAUUUGUAUAUCUUCUUUGGAGAAAUGUUCAUUCAGGUCCUUUCCCAAUUUUUAAAAUCAGAUUGUAUUUUGUUGUUGCAUUGUAGGAGUUCUUUAUAUAUUCUGAGUAUUAACCCCUUAUCAGAUAUACGUAUGAGUCUUUAGCUUUUAAGCUGUUGUUUCUCUCUGCACCAGCUGAGAAUGCUUUGGUGGUGGUGGUCAUGGGGAUAUUGUAUUCUCAUUAUCAGGCUUCUAGUGAUAGGUUGUAUCAAGGGGUAUUUCACUAUGGUGAGUUUUCUAACAGAGGAAGCAACAUGUAUUAGUCAGGGUUCUCCAGAGAAAAAGAGCCAAUAGGAUGUGUGUAUGCAUAUAUGUGUAUAUUUUAUAAUAAAUAUAAUGUAACUACAUAUUUAUAAUUACAUAGCUAUAUUUAUUACACAUAUAAUAAAUCUUGUAUUUUAUAUGUGUGUGUGUGUGUGUGUGUGUGUGUGUGUGUGUGUGUGUGUGUGUGAUGAGAAAUCGGCUCACAUGUGUAUGAAGGCUGACAAGAGCUGCAGGCAGAGCCAGCAGGCUGGAGGUCCAGGAGAGCUGAUGGUGUAGUUCCAGUCCAAGGGCUGAUGGGCUCAAAACAUGGGAAAAGCUGAUGUUUCCAUUUGAGUCCAAAGCAGGAAAAGGCUAAUGUCCCAGUUCAAGGGCAGCCAAGCAGGAGGAAUUCUCCCUUACUCAAGGGAGGAUCAGCCUUUCUGUUCUGUUCAGGCCUUCAGCUGAUUGGGUAAGGCCCACCCACAUUAUGGAUGGCACCCUGCUUUACUCAGGCCACUGAUAUAAAUGUUAAUCUCAUCCCAAAACACCCAUAUAAAAACGUUCAGAAUAACAUAUGGCCAAAUAUCUGGGCACCUCAUAGCUCAGUAAAGUUGACACAUAAAACUAACAAUCACACAGCACUAACAAAUGAUGCUGUCCUCCUCUGCCUCUGCUAAUUAGUUUGAAGAUGAAGAACAUUCUCAGGGUCUUCAUUUUCCUAUAGGUUUUGUGGCUCAAGUCUGUUAUUGAGCUCAUUCCUUUUCAUGUGAAGGUAUAACAAGACAAAGCAACUUUGGAGGGCUCCAGGUGGUCAUUUCUAGGGCAGAUGUUUCCCUUAGAAUGAUGUGGCCUCAAAGAAGGAGUUUUCCUUUUACUGAAUCAAUAAUAAUUUUUAUAAUCCCAAAUUACUUAAAUAAUAACUGAAACUUUGUACAUGUCCAUGUAGCUUCUCUAAAUCUCUCCUGCUUUUUAAGGCUUGAGCUGUUUUCUUUUUCUUUCAUAACCUCACUGCUUCUUGCCCACUAUCAGCAUUUUUCUGACCCUGUAUAAGCCUAAGUGAAAUCCCUUGGGACAUACAUAGCUUCUUUAUACUAAGAAACUUAAGUGUUGGUCUAAAGUAUUAACAAUUUUUGUGCAUUUUUGGUAAAGAAAGUUCCUACAGUUUUACUCUCUGUCUCACCCCUAGAUUUUUGGGCACUACCGUUCAUUCAUUCAGAGUUACUAUACACCAGGUAGGGUGCUAAAUGCUGGGGGUAUGGCACUGAACUGUACACACAGAGUCCCUGCCCUCCUGGAGCUUACAUUCUAGUGGGGUCUAGUGAGCUUACAAAGCUAGUACAAUAAACAUGCAUUGCCUUCCCCACACUACCACAGCCCCACUACAAAGAAAAACCAAAGCAUUUUAGAGGAUGACUAUAGUAGAGUCAAGAUGAACAUGCACUAAUAAACAAACCACUUACUAUUAGAUAUACAAAAAAAAUGCAAACGAUUAUACGGUAAUGAUUUGGCUGUACCCUUUUUCCUUUUGGAAAUCUCAAUCUGGUAAUCUGUUUGUUUUUCAUUAUUAAUUUGAAUAGUCAGUAUGUGCAUGUUUGUGCAUACAUGACAAAAACCAAAAGGCACAAAAGAAUACACAGUAAAAUGUAAAUCUCCUACCCCUGCCCUGGCCACCUAUAGUUUCCCUUUCCAGAGUAGCCACUGUUUUUACAUAAUUUCCCACUGUUCCUUAUAGGUCUUUGCAUAGAAGUAUGCAAACAUACACAUUUGUGUUCUUAAAAACACCCCAAAACUCCAACAGGUUAAGCUCUACCCAUUUGUUCUACACUUCACUUUUUUUUUCACUUAACAGCAUGUCUUGAUGAUCAGCCCAUACCAGUAUGUAUAUAAUGCAUCAUUCCUUUUGCUGGCUGCAUGGUAUUCCACCACAGGAAUGUGUACUGGCAGGCAGUAUUGCAUAGAGACCAAGAACCUGUGGUCUGAAUCCUCAAUUUACCACUUAUUAGCUAUGCAUCUUGGGUAAGUUACUUAAGCUCACUCUGUUUUAACUUUCUUAUCUAAAAUAGGACGUAUAACAGUACUUAACUCAUAAGGUUGUUGUUAGGCACGUAGAAAGUACCUAAUGUAUUUUAUCUGUCACUAUGUAUAGUAAUUUAUUUAAGGAGACCCUAUUGAAGGAUAGUGAAGUUUUUGUCAACAUUUUGCUUUUAGAAGCAUCACAGCAAUGAAUAGUCCUGUAAUAUAUAUCAUUUCACACAUGUACAAGUUUAUAUUUAGAAUAAAUUCUUAGAAGUAGAAUAGCUGGAUCAAACAGCUAGGUAUGUGAUUUAGGUUCUGAUGGAAACUGCCAGCUGGCUGUCUGAAGAGGUUAUACCAACCUACAGUCCUAACCAUAAUGUAUAAGGGUGGGCAUGAGGAGUGGAGGCAGGGGAGCUAUUUUAGUUUGGGUGGUCAAGGAUGUGACGUUGGGAUUAAAUCCUAGAUGAUGAAACCGAGCCAGCCACGUAAGAUCUGGGAUCACAACAGCUGGGGCUAUGCUCCACAGCAGAAAUGGCCCUGCUGUGUUCAAGGACUGGAAAGCAGGCCAGUUUGGCUGGAGACUGGUGAGUGAGGAGGAGACUGCAGGGCUGUGAGUAGACAGGAAGGCAGGAUUCAUAUAGACCCGAUUUAGGAUUGUGUUCUAGGUGCAAUGGAAGCCAUUAGGGGGUCUGAACAUUGUAAGAUCACUCUGGAUGUGGGGUCGUGAGUAGUUGGGGACAAGUAGAGGGAGACAGGGAGAUUAGUUAGGAGCUAAUGCCAUGCCAGUCAGCCAUGUCAGAGAGUGGGGUGCCUGGUGCCUAGGGGGUAGUGGGGAUGGAGGAGGUGGAGCCUGCUGGUUUUGCUGACAGAUACAAAGGAUGGGGAGGGGGCAGGAGGAGUCAGGGAGAGAUAGGACUCAAGGACUAUGUGCCCUCCUGGCUCUGUCAUUUACUAGAGGUAUGACCUUGGGCAAUAAUCUCUUCUCUCUCUGCUUUACUAUCCUUUAUAAAAUGAGGAGAGUAAUUUCACAUUUUCAUAUGGUGGUUAUGAAUAUAUCACUUAACAUAUGUAAAAUGCUUGGUACCUGCUAAACAAAUAUCAGCUUUUAUUAGGUAUUGAGAUGGGGAAGAUUGGAAGUGUUGGAGGGGGGAUCUUCUUGUCUGUCUUAUUACUGUGUCCUCAGCAUUUGGAACAGUAUUUGGCACAUAAUAGAUAGUCACUAAAUAUUGUUGAAUAAAAUUAUGUAUAUUCAGCUGGGUGCGGUGGCUCACGCCUGUAAUUCCAGCACAGGUGGGCAGAUCAUCUGAGGUCAGGAGUUCGAGACCAGCCUGGCCAAGAUGGUGAAACCCUGUCUGUACUAAAAAUACAAAAAUCAGCCAGGGAUGGUGGUGUAUGCCUGUAAUCCCAGCUACUCGGGAGGCUGAGGCAGGAAAAUUGCUUGAACCUGGGAGGCAGAGGUUGCAGUGAGCCCAGAUCAUGCCGCUGCACUCCAGCCCGGGCGACAGAGCAAGACUCCAUCUCGGGGGGGUGGGGGGAGGGGGGAAGUACUGUUGAAUAAAAUGAAUGAAUGAAUAGAAAUAGGACCCAUUGGAAGGGGAAUGGGAUUGGGUGAUUGAUAAGGAAAGCUUUACAUUAUCUGUAUCAGCGGUCCCCCACCUUUUUGGCACCAGGGACUGGUUUCAUGGAAGACAAAGUUUCCACGGGCCAGGGUAGUGGGGACAGGGAUGGGGGUUGGUCAUAAGGAGUGUGCAACCUAGAUCCCUUGCAUGCACAGUUCACAAUAGGGUCUGCGCUUCUAUGAGAAUCUAAUACCAUGCUGCUUUGACAGGAGGCAGAGCUCAGGUGGUAAUGGUCGCCCGCCGCUCACCUCAUGCUGUGUGGCCUGGUUCCUAACAGGCUGUGGACCAGUACCGGUCUGUGUCCCAGGGGUUGGGGACCCUCUAUCUAUCUAUCUAUCUGUCUGUCUGUCUGUCUGUCUGUCUGUCUGUCUGUCUGUCUAUCUAUCUAUCUAUCUAUCCAUCCACCUGUGAAAUAGUGUGAAUAUACUGACACGUUAUUUAUAUAGUUAAAAAUAAAUUCUAAAAAUAUACUAACAUAGUAAUAAACUUAGCAGUGUCAGCAAGACUUUUAAGUUAAAAUGUGUCUUUGGGUCUGAUUCCCAGAACCAUGAGCCAAGAACUAAAGUUUGGGGAUCUGCAGAUCUUGGUCACUGUAUCCUGCUAUGCAUUCAGGGCUCAUCAGUUACAUCAUUUUGAACCCAGGAACUUGUUUUUCAAGAACAUUUGUAGAUAAAAGUGAGUCUCAUUUCUUAAUAGUUCACAAAUCACUUUUAUAAUUAAGAGCAGUGCCUUUAAGACAUAAUCUCAAAACUUAUCCAGCUGGGCGCUGUGGCUCACACUUGUAAUCCCACCACUUUGGGAGGCUGAGGCGGGUGGAUCACUUGAGGACAGGAGUUCAAGACCAGCCUGGCCAACAUGGUGAAACACCGUCUCUACUAAAAAUACAAAAAAAUUAGCUGGGCAUGGUGGCAGGCACCUGUAAUCUCAGCUACUCAGGAGGCUGAGGCAGGAGAAUCACUCAAACCCAGGAGGCGGAGGUUGCAGUGAGCUGAGAUCACGCCAUUGCAAUCCAGCCUGGACAACAAGAAUGAAACUCCAUCUCAAAUAAUAAUAAUAAUAAAAUAAAAUAAAAAAUUAUCCAACAGGCCAGGUGCAAUCGCUCACGUCCGUAAUCCCAACACUUUGGGAGGCCGAGGUGGGCAGAUCAUCUGUGGUCAGGCGUUCGAGACCAGCCUGGCCAACAUGACAAAACCAUCUCUACUAAAAAUACAAAAAUUAGCUGGGUGUGGUGGCUCAUACCUGUAAUCCCAGCUACUUGGGAGGCUGAGGCAAGAGAAUCACUUGAACCCAGGAGGUGGAGUUUGCAGUGAGCCGAGAUUGCACCACUGCACUCCAGCGACAGAGCAAGACUCCAUCUCAAAAAAAAAAAAGAAAAGAAAAAAUUAGCCAAUGAAUGAGAAAAAUAACAUCAGCACUGCAAAUUAAACCACCAGGACUUGAAAUUUCAGUGAUCCUAUUUUUGCAUACCACAGCCCAGCAUUCAUUUAUUCAAUCCAGAAAUAGUUAUCAAGCAACUGCUAUGUGCCAGACACAGGUCUAGACACUUGGGAUACGUUGAAUAACAAAACAAAGAUCCUUUCCCUCGUGGAGCUUACAUUCUAAUGGGAGGAUGUGGGGAGACAGACAAUGAGAAGCAAUACGUAGCGUAAGGUAAGUAAAUCACAGAGUAUGUUAGAUAAGUCUUGUGGAAAAAAUGAAAAGUCAGGCAAGCUAUGGUUGCUUGGAGUUUUGCCAAGAGUUGUGAUUUUAUAUAGUGUGGUGUGAGCCUCAGCUAGAAGGUGGCAUUUGAACAGAGAUGUUAGGGAGGGAAGGCAGUUUGCAUUUGCAUUUGAGGGGAAGGUUGUUUCAUGCACUGGGAACGGCCAUUACAAAAGCCCUUAGGUUGGGAUGUACGAGGAGGCUGGUGUGACUGGAGAGGAGUGAUCAAGAGGAAGGGUGGUGGGAGGCGAAACCCCAAGAGGUAAGUGGUGGUGGGGGAGUCGUGCACUGGGAAUCAUGCAGGGCCUUGUAGGCUAAGUGUAAGCCCUUUGGCUUCCACACUCAGAAUGAAUUUUGGAGACAUCGCAGGUUUUGAGCAGAAAAGUGGCAUGCUCUGACUUAUACUUUAAAAAGAGAACUCUGGCUUCUAUGUUGAGAAUAAACUUUAGGAGGGCAGAUGUGGAAAGCAGGAAGACCUGUUGGAAGGCUGGUAGAGUAAGAGAUGAUGGCGGCUCACACUUGGCUGACAGCAGUGUAACUGGUGAAAGUGGUCGUGCUCUGAAUAUAUUUUGGGUACAUCUUGAAGGUGGAUUUCCUGACAACAGAAUUUCCUGGCAGAUUGGAUAUAGGGUGAGAGAGAAAGAGAGGAGUCAGGAAUUAUCCUAAGCUUUUUGACCUGGGCAACUGAAAAGAUGGAGAUGCCAUCACAGAGAUGGGGAGGGCAUUGGGCUUGGCAGGAAAGCUCAGGAAUUUGGUUAAGAACAUGCUGAAAUUGAGAUAUUGAUUAUACCUCCAAGUCCCAUUGUUGAAUAGGCGGUUGGAUAUAUAAGUCUGGAAUUUAAAAGAGACCGAUCAAGGGGGCGAGAUAUACAUUUGGGAGUUUACUUUAAAUACCAACUAUAUGGCAUGGAACUGCAUGAGCUCACCAGGGGAGUGACGGUAAAUAAAGAGGAGACCACAGACUAAGAACUGAGUCAUUUCAACAUUAAGAGGCAAGAAGAGGCCAGGCCUGGUAGCUCACGCCUGUAAUCCCAGCACUUUGGGAAGCAGAGGUGGGUGGAUCACCUGAGGUCAGGAGUUCGAGACCAGCCUGGCCAACAUGAUGAAACCUCGUCUCUACUAAAAAUACAAAAGUUAGUUGGGCAUGGUGGCGGACACCUGUAAUCCCAGCUACUUGGGUGGCUGUCGCAGGAGGAUUGCUUGAACCCGGGAGGUGGAGGUUUCAGUGAGCUGAGACUGCGUCAUUGCACUCCAGCCUGGGCAACAAGAGCGAAACUCCAUCUCAAAAAAAAAAAAAAAAAAAAAAGAGGCAAGAAGAAGAGUAGGAAUUAGCAGAAGAGAUGAGAAGGAGAUGCCAGUGAGGUUGGCAGAAAGCCAGGAGAGGGUGGAGCUCUAGAAGCCAGGUGAAGAAGGAGUGUUAAGAAGGAGAAAGUGUCCAAAGCAUCUGAGAGGCCAAGCAAGAAGAGUCCGACCUCUUUCCACCUGGAGAAGAGACCUGGGAGUCCGCACCAUGUGUCAGCACAGGGAAUAGUGAGAAAGAGCCUCGUGGACACAGAGCUUGCCAACAGCAGCCCCAGAAGAAAAGGAAAGCAUCUUCUUCCAUCAGUUCUGGCCUCACAAGACAGAGAGGAAUGAGCAGGGGUGGAAGGUAGCUUUGUAAGUGACACAGUGAUGUACCUCUGACCCUAUUUUGAUACUAGUUACAUUAAAUCAGUCCUAAAUGGCCUUUUGGAAUCCCCAGUUGAUGAAAUUUAUUUCUCCUUUGUUUCAUGUGCCACUCAGGAUCUCUUGAAUUCGUGAAAUUUUUAUUAAGAAAGCCUCAUACACCAAUAAACAACGUGUGCACAGACUCCAUAGCCUCUCUGCUAACACAUUGCUCUUGUAUAUCAGGAAGGUCUCCAGCAUCAAAGUGAGUCAGUUAUUGCACAGAGUCCCAACCUUGCCAGCUUUUUGCCAAAUGGUCACCAUCCUGUACAUCCUUCCUUCCUGGAAGUGAUAGAAAUCUCUAUGGCUAUUUUUGCUACAAGGAGAUUAUGGCACAGCAUAUGGAGUCCUUACUCUCCAGGGGCAAAAGAAAAGUCUUGUCUUUGCUUAAGCAAGUCACACAGUAGAUGCCACAGGCUUAGGGCAACUGUGUGUCUGCAUGAUUCAUGGGGGACUGCACGGGGGAGCCGCAGCACACGGAGCAGCUGGUCUUAGCAGCAUACUAACCUGAUGUUUCCCAUAAACGUUGCGCAUGGAAUUUCCCCCAUUUGUCAUGCUGAGUUGGCUCUGUCAAUCCUAUACAAAUCCCUGCGUGCAUUAAUAUUUCCUUGAGCCAGAGCAAAGGAAUUCUAGAAUAUUGGCAUUCUGAGGGUGAAUAGUGAUGGAUAUAGUAAACUUUUAGCAUUAUGGAUAUUGUCAUCUUAAACAAAAUAAACAUGAAAGAAAAAGAGAAGUUAUGAUAAAUUAUCAGAGGCUGUUUGUUAAAUUCCCUGAUUUAAAAGCAUCUUCCUCUAUAAGUCCUCGGUUUAAAAACAAGAAUCAACAAGGAACAAGAUUUGUCUAUAAGUAAAACCGUUUCUGUUGCUAUUUUUUGAACAACAAGAGACAUUUCUCUAGGAGAUUAAGCCAGUCGUUUAUCAUGUUGUUUCAGGGAAGAGUAUACUCUGAGUUAUAAUGUAAUACCCAGACUAAUUUAUCUCAUCAUGGAAACUAUUUACAAUAAUUUCUGGCCUAGCUAGAAAUUGAAAAGUUCAUUUUAUUACCUGAAUUCAAUGUAUACCGAUGUUCUAAGAGAGUGGACAUUCGGCAGUUAGUGCUAUUUUAAAUGGUGUUGUUGAAGAGAGUUUACUGCCUAAAUUAAACAGGUUGGUUUUGCUUCUUGGCAUUUAUUAUUUUUUUGAAAUCUGACCAAGUUUAGGUUUAUUAACCUUAGGGCACAGAAACUCAUUUGUCUCACUAGAUGCCUGAGCAAGGUUGGCAUGCUAGAGAGAAAGGACAUGGUUUAGCAGAUCCAUGGACCAUGCCAUUUGGUACUUAUUGACCCCAGCAAAUUACUUUAAUCCCUCCAAGCUUCUAUUUCUUCAUCUCUAUUGUGGGGAAAAUAACCUGCAUCACAGAGUUAUGUCAGAAUCCAUAAAAUAUUAUAUGUAAAGUUCUGAGCACAGUGCCUGUUGCGUGGGGGCACGAAAUAACCGGCAGCUGUUAUUGUUGCUGCUGCUGCUGUUGUUACAAUCUCCUCUAGCCUGCAGUCAUGGAGAUGUAAGAAACAUGGUGGCUGAGCCUGGUGAAGUUUCUCAGCGUCUCUGUUUCUUGCAUGUGUCUCACACCCUUGUCUAAAAUGCCUUGCUCUCAUCUAACCCAGAGUUCUCUCUCAACUAAGGCAGCAGGGUUGGCGUGAGGGGGGCAAAGGAGGGAGGAGGAAGGCAACCAGCCUCACAAGUGGGGGCCACUCCUCACAGCCACGAGCAGCUGGGCCACAUGCAGCACUGGCAGCCCAGGUGGCCUGUUACGGCGGGCAGUACUUCCCUUUGCCUCCCUUCGGAAUCUGUCAGCACUUUUAUGUGGAGUCUUCAUCCCAUGUUCAGCCCUGGGGUUUUAAGGUGUUUCUCCUUUGCUUUGGGAUUUCAAACAUGGCAGCUCAUAGCACUGUACUGUCAUUUCUCCUGGAUGCUAGGGAUGCCUGCUACUUGCCUACCUCGAGCAGAUGUUCUGAAUGUCAAGUCAGCAUUGCUUGAAACACACACACACACACACACACACACGUACACACCACUGUUACUAGUUCUGCUAUGUCUGGCUCAUAGACAAGGAUGUAAAGAAGCAGUCUAACAUUCUGCCAUUGACAAACUACUCCUUUUUAAAAUGCCAAAUUCUUGUAAUUCUGCUUAUUUUCAAUAGGCUAUGUCUGGCCAAAAUGUCUGCUUGAAUUGGCUAAUUAAACCAAAAUAUCUAUGUUUGAUAAAAAAAAAAAUAGCCUUGGGAUUUUGUUUGCAGUGUACCCUCAAAUCACCAUCUGCAAGUCUGUUACUCCAAGCAAGUCAGGGAAGAGUAGCUUCUGUUGGCCCUCCCCCGAAGAAACAAAACCAAACCUACAACCAGGCCUUUACUCUUUCCCCAGAAAUGGUUUUCCCUCUUCCUUCAUCUCCCAGCGCCCUCGUGUCUCUCUCUCAACAGUACCUGGAAGUUUCGUGCUAUGAGAUUUUUAUGUUUUACUCUGGGUUUGUAAAUCCGUUUCAUAACUGUAAAGAUCUGUAGCUUAUCUCUAAAAUCUCUUAUCUGUGUUUGGGAUAUAAGAGGUCCCUAUUGACACAGAAUCAAUUAUUUAUUGAUUUAGAAGAAGAAAAAUGCAGAGUCGCAGAGACAUUGUCAGGAUUUAUAGAUCUCAUUUUGGUUGAUGGGACUCACUGCGGGGGAAACCUGUGCUGAGUGGAAAGGGCUCCUUUUCCAAAUUUAUGCUAUUCUGGUUCGAUUCUGGAGAAGCCGGCAGUUUUGUUUGCAGACUUUCUGGUUUUCAUUAGCAGUCUGGUGGUAACAGCUAGCUUUAGCUGCUUCUUCCUGUCACUGCUCACGGGAAUGGCGCUGAAUGCUCGGAGGUGGCACGAGGCUUUGGGGAUGGCAGCAGCUUCAUCAGCAUGCCCUCACCCCAGCCCUCAAUUGUCACAGCAGCAGGUCCUGCCUCCGAGAAUGAGAACAUUGCUGAUUAGUGUGCCUGGUGCACUGGGCAGGCCGUGGGGAGAGAGAAUGCUAUGGUAUAUCUCCACUGAUUUCCCAACAAUUACAUUCUCCCUGCUUCCUACUGGCCUUCCCCUUACACACAGGCUGCAUCUUGUCUUCCAUUAUCAAGAGUUUCCUUUUGGUCUUUCACACUAGGAGUUCACAGGUUUCUUCUCAGUGUCUGUAACUUCAUUCCACCUCCUGCUCUUGAGCUUCACCUCUCUCCAAUUCACCCUUUCAGUCCUGCUCAAUAAAAGCUCGGCUGUUCCUCCUUAAUGCCUUUAUCCUCUCAUUCAGCAGUCUGUUGAAAACUGUGCACUCAGAGGGAAUUCCACUUAAUGAUGACUUGAACUCUCUAGGCUUUAACUUGUUUUCUCAUCUGUAAAAUGGGGAUAAUGGUAUUACACACCUCUCAGGGCUAUUGUCAGGUAAAACAAGAUAAUACAUAUAAAGUGCUCAGAUUAAUGCCAGAUACAUAGUUAUCAGUAAAGGCAUUAUCAUCAGUUUCUUCUUCAUCACCAACAUCUCUAGGCAUACUCUGGGUCUAUAAGCAGGGACCACCUGUACUUUUGGUGCUAUGAGUAUAUGUUUAGCCCUACAGAUCACAACCUAGUCUUAUUUGAAACUCAUUUAAUGUGAUGCCAAUUUCCUGUCCUAUCUUAAUUCUAGAUUCUCAAAGAAUAGUCUCUUUGUCUCUUUUUUUCUUUACUGCUUCACUACACUCGUGCGUUCACUACAUUAAAGUUUACAAAGCAGUAUUAAAAAUCUUGUUGCAUUUAGUCCACAUAGUGGCAUAUGAGACAUGGAGCAUUUUACAUAUGAUAGCAUUGCAGACCCAGAGAGUACAUAUUUUGCUUAAGACAACCCACCAUUAAGAGGCAAACCCAAUAUUCACACUCAAGUCUUCUGACUCCAAGUCCAGUAUAGUUUUUUUCUAUGUGGAACAAUUUUUCUGUGGAGAAUCAGUGACCUUUAAUUUUCUACACAGGCUUUUAUCAAGAAGUCAGUAAGUUUAUUGUUGUUGUUGUUGUUUUUUGAGAUAGAGUCUCGCUCUGUCACCCAGGCUUGAGUACAGUGGUGCAAUCUUGGGUCACUGCAACCUCCUCCUCCUGGGUUCAAGCAAUUCUCCUACCUUAGCCUCCUGAGUAGUUGGGAUUACAGGUGCACACCACCACGCCCAGCUAAUUUUUGUAUUUUUAGUAGAGAAAGGGUUUCACCAUGUUGGCCAGGCUGGUCUUGAACUCCUGACCUCAAGUGAUCCACCCGUCUCGGCCUCCCAAAGUGCUGGGAUUACAGGCGUGAGCCACUACACCUGGCCAGAAGUCAGUAAGUUUUAAGUUCUUGGAAGGUAGAUAUUAGUUCUAAGUCUCUCACUAAGAUGCUUAUGUCUAGUCAUGUAUCAGCAUGAUGGCUUGAACUGAUUUACUGGAUUUCUUUCCUGGCAUCUCACUAAGGGCAGGGGACUAAGGUCAUGAUAAUGUGGAGGAGGCUUUCUCUAGGCUGGGAAAGUAGUCCUAGGGGAGCACAGACUACUUUGUUGACUGAAGGGGACUUUGUUCAAUGAAGAGUUACAGUGUAUACUCUGGGAAUUGGUGGUGGGUAGAGGAGACACAAAAGUGGAAGCUGGUGUUACAAACCCGACAUAAACUGCUGCUCUCAAGUUGGUCUGGCAUCGGCUCUCCAUAGAAUUCUUUUGAAUUCAUCCUUCCCUGUAACUUCUUGUCCCUGACUCUGCCCUCAAAUCUCCAGGCAAAUCCUUGCCUUUCAAUGUGGUUUGGAUAGCAAUGGGCACUGAGUUCAUCUAUCCAUUCAUGUACUGAUUUGUGGAGAUUCAUUCAGUACCAGCUAUGUGCCUGGUACUGUGUUCAUCACUGAGAUAACAGGAAUGAAAGAUCCCGUUGAGUGGAUGAUCCAGCUUCCUGGUAUCAGGUUGAGGGGACUGGGAGAAGCAGAAGGGAUGGAGAGUCGGACGAAGAGAAAAGCGUUCUUAGUCAAGAGGAAGCGAGUCUGCUGUAACCCAACCUGCAGACCCUGCAUGCGUGAACAUGGUGUGAUCAGCCUGUGAACAUUCAUAAACACUGAGAGCUGCGUUACACAGUGUCACUGGUUCACCAGAACCUCUGGAUGACAGAGAGCUCAGCAGUGAGCCCAAUAUGUGGGGUAAUGGUGCUUGGAAAGCCCUGGACUGUGAGGGAAACAACCUCCCUUUCCCCAAAGGUCUCAAGGCAACUUGCUGAUUCAGCUCCGUCUUUGCUUCCUCUAAUAUUUGGAUAGAAAAGCAGAUACUCAAUAAGAAUAAAGAGUUGAAUCAACAAGGCAGGAGGGGGAAAGUCUUUAAGACAACAGGCAAGGGCCAGGGAGUUAGAACCUGGCUUCAAGCACGCCAUCUGCUGUUUACUCAAUUCACUUCUCUUUAAAACAUCUAGGUUUGAAAAAGAACUCUAAGGGGGACAGAAAAGCAUACACCUUUCCAAAUGGUCUUCCCCGAUAUGGAGCUCACUGAGUAGCCUCAUGAUGAGCCUAACUCAAUACAAACAAACUGCCUGUGAAGCUUCUCCUCCACCCAGUUGUUGGUGAAAGCAAAUGCAUACCUCCCAUCUUUGAUGCUUAGGUUUCAAAAAUCCAAAGCUGUUCUUUUGACUUUGUCACUAAACCAGACAUUGGCAAAUGUCAGUCCUUUUAUGGAAGUACCAGCCUUGAGCUAGGAGGUCUCCUAGGCCCGGAGAUCCUCAGCAGCCCACUGUCAAUAGGUGGUUGUUAUCAGUUCCAGUAAACAUUUUUAAAUAUCCUGGAAAUGCCUCAACAGUGGACCUAGAUAUUUCCCUUUCAGCCGGUAGGCAAGAGUCGGUAUGCUCUUUGAAGUUUUGCGGUGUUAUAAGACACUCAAGAAAAAUGUGUGGUAAAGUAUUCUAGGUAUGUUUAAAUUGUCAGUUAUUGCUUAUUCUGUUUGUGCCUUCAAAGAAUGUUUUUGUUAAGGAAGUCACAGGGAUUUGACUUACUUCUCCCUGACUGAAGAGAAUAGUGGAAGACUGCCUCCAGAUUUGAAAAGAAAUUAGUCACAGGUUUUUUUUGUGUGCUUUCAGCCUGGAGAACAGACGCCUUUCCACCAAAGAAAGAAGAAAAGAGGGGCUCUAAUGUAGGGCAGGUGGGAGAGAAGGGCUUCACACUGGGCGGGGAAGACUGUAGGUCCAGGAGGGACUCGGUAGAACAAAUGCUUAUUGCGGACAGCUGGGAGAAGCAGUCAAAGGUCAUUUGGGUGAUCUGGAAGUUUCAGGGCAAACCACUGGGAAGGCCUCUCUUGACUACCGGCUGUGAUUCAGGGUAAGCUAAAAACAAAGUCUACCUUUUGUUUAGGAAACUUUGCCAUUUUCCAGCAUUUUCACACACAUUUCUUGAAUCUGAGCAUCUCAGCCCUUACUGCUAAGGAGAAUGGGACAGAGAGGUGUAUCUUGUCUAAGGUUACUAACUUGUGGUAAAUGCAAAUCUUCUCAAAGAUGGGCACUUCUAAUCAAAUUUGGGGGUUAAAUACCAUACUUCUAAUAGAUUUAAAAUAGAAAUUAGGUUCUAAAUUGCACCUAGUUUAUUAAUUUAAAUGUUGACGGGUAAUAGCUAACUAUUAUUGGGCACUUGUUACGUACCAGGCACCUGGCUAUGUACUUGACAGAAAUUCGUUCAUUUCACCUUCACAACACUAGUAAGUAGGUAGAUGUUUUUAAUCGCCACAGUGCAGGUGAGAAAAGAAGACAUAAAGAGGCUACAUGCAAUUAGUCACACAGUAAUUAGAGGAGUCAGAUUCAGGUAGAAAGUCCCAAGUCCAAGACCCUUCCAUCACUGCCUCUGUGUGGAACCUCUGCAUGGCCCUCGGUAAGGGAAGGGUUUAAUUCUAGUGUUCAGCUUUAAUUCUAAUGGAGUUAUGUUUUUGUAAAACCUGUAGUAAGUUAGUAUGAUUCAGAUCUUAAACACAUGAGUGGUGUUGCAGGACAUGUGACAGGCAACAUGAUAUGAUUUUUUUAAAAAGCAUAAAUUGAGAAGUCAAAGGACUGAGGGCAAGUCUUGCCUUCAGUAUCAGUAAAUUGGAUGGUGUGGGAAAAUCUCUUAAUCUCUCUGGGCCUCCGUUUCUUCAUUUGCAAUGUGGCUAACUUCUACCACUACCAGAUGAGAAUCUACUGGUAUCUGGUGAUAGUGUACUCAAACUGUUAAAAAAAUAGUUAUCUGAAAUGGCGACCUGAAGUUCUUAAGUGACAUUCAGUGUGAUGUGUACCAAAGGUUGAUGGUGUAAUAAUAUGGAUUUAUUAUUUUUAAGUUAAUUUAUUUCUAACUGGUGUAGUUUUAAAAAUUAUACAAAAUAUGUAUGAAAAUAAAUUUGAAUAGGACCCAAGGACUUAAAGUGAAAAAGGUAAAGUUUGGACAGUCACAGUGGCUCACACCUACAAUCCCAGGACUUUGGGAGGUUGAGGCAGGAGGACUGCUUGAGCCGAGGAGUUUGAAACCAGCCUGGCAAUAUGGUAAGAUCCUAUCGCUACAGAAAACUACUUUUUAAAAGUAGUCUUACUUCUCUGCCAUGCCUAUCCCUAUCCCACUGUUCAGACAUAACUACUGUUAAGGUUUCUUCUUUCAGAAAUUGGAGCCAUAUAUAACUAUGCAAUAUCUUUUACAUUAAUUUACGAAAGACUCUGCUCGUUUCUCUAAAUUAUCUUAAUUACAAAAAUAUGUGACUCUAAGUCUUGCUUAAAAAAUACUUCAAAGCCUGUUUUUUUAAAAAGCAUAAGACCUUAAAUUUAUGCAUAUUGAAUUUUAUUUCCUUCCACUAAAAUAUGAAUAAGGCACUCUGCUGGAGAAUAUAUUUGAAUUGUGAAAAUAUAACUGUCAACAUUAUGGAAGCAUCAAAGUAUUAAAAUAAGCUUUCAUUUUGUUUUGGAUCUUUUAAAACAUGACAACAAAAGUCAUUUAAGGCAUUGUUGCUUAUAAGUCAUUUUGUGUGAUUAUUCAUGCGAUCCAGAAUACUUCUCUGUUUCCCUCUGAGUUUUGACUGUUAAGAAAUGUUAUGUCUUGAAAAACAUCUGAAGAGGGUUGCCUGUAUCUUUCCUUGCCGUUUUUUAUAUAGUCAGUGGGAAUUUGUUACAUAAUUCUGUGAUUCUUUUGCUUCGCAAAAUUAUUCUUUUUUCAAAUAAGGAAGUGUUAGAGGCUUUCCUAAACUAACUGCAAUACUCCAUCUUUUAUGUGGUUAUUUCAUCUCUCAUUGUAGAUCAAUAACUCUUCCUAUGGAGGCCAAGUAAAUUAAACCAUAUGGUUUUGGGCCAGGAGUUUUCUUUGUGAUCGACAAAAUGAAUAAUUAGGGUUCGCUUUCUCCACAUGGCCCAGGUUUGUCACAGAGGCCCUACUUCCUAGGCGCUGCUGAACAUUAUGUGAUUCCAUUAAUUGUCAUAUCAGAGAAUUGAGUUAUAGUGAGGAAGGCUGAGUCCAUAUUAUGUGUCAGUGCAAAUGAGAGCCAGUUGAAGCUUUCUCAGUACUACCUAAGAAGAGGCCUAAUGGCUUCUCUGUGGAAGCUGCCCCCAAACAGAGGGCAUAAAUGCAGCCCAGGUGUACUUCCCGUGCUCUGGCACCAGAACAUCUGUAGGAAUUGUUCAAACACAUUGGUGGGCCCCGCCCUCAGAGUUUGUGAUGCAGUAGAUUGGGAGACCCAAGCAUUUGCAAGUUCCCACGUGAUACUGCUGCCAUUGAUCCAGGGUGCACACGUUAAGAACCACUGGCCUAGCACAUUUAGAAGCCGUAGCAAGAGAAGAAUGGAUGGCCAGUUAGGCAGAAUUAAUGUACUGGCUUUGGCUUUUGAGUCCAUAUAGCCACCUCUGAAUUUCAGCUACUGGAGGUAGGGAGAAAGAGCUCAUGCUCCAAAUGUGUGGACUGUUUGUGCCUAUUUCAUCAGUUCACUGGGAGAAUGGGCCUGUAAGCACUUAAUGCAAAAUAAUGCCUACAUGUGCUUUGAAUUAGAACUCUUCUUCUUGUUUUGUUUUUCAAAUUUUUAAAAAGACUAGUAUGAUUAGUUGUAUCCUGCCCGUUUAACCACUUUCACAUUUCACUUUUAAAAUGAAAUCACCCUGCUUGCAUUUAACUAAUGGAAACUUAUUCAACCUGCCAAACAAGGUUCCACUAUCCCUGAGACAAAUUUUCCAAAGGGCUGGAAACUCAAUGCAGCUUUUAUACAAGAAACAGAAUGGAAAUGUUCGAAUUUAUGUUACUUUGACACAUAUUUUCCAAGGUUUGAUAUUUAAGUAAUAUCUAUUACAUUGUAUCUGAAGGCAUUCAUUUGACUCUAUAAGACAAGUACUUAACAUUUGGGAUACCUUUUCAUCUUGCUUUUAACUUCCACAAGUAUUAUUUAAGUUUAUCUUGUUUAUAAUAAUUUUAAAUGUUUGAUACGUUAUUAUCAUCAUCAACUAAUAUUAAUGAGUGGUCAUUAUGAACCAACCAUUGCUAAUUGAUUUGCAGGUGUCAUCACGUUUAAUCAUCACUUCUCUGUAAGGAGGAUAGUUACCAUUUUCUCUCUUUUACCAAUACUUAAACUGAGGAUGAUAAGGGAUUAAAUAAUUGUCCCAGGUCCCCGGCUAGUAAGUGGCAGAACAGUUCUAGGCCUGGGUAACUCCAAAGCCUAACUGCUUCCCCACUAUGUUAUCACCCUUAUGAAAACACACUUUUUAAAGAGCUUUCUGUGCUUGGCACCAUUCAAUAUUGGUUCUGCCCCUAAAACCAUUCAAUCUAAAAUAGUCAACAUGUUAAGUACAUUGACUAUAUGCUCAUGCAUAACAGCUGAGCAGAAUAAAUAUUUACUCUGCGUAGAAGAGAAGUUUUAUGAAAGGGAAGUCAUGUUUAUGUGGGAUAGGGAGACGGGUGUGUAAUAUACCUUUUCCUUAAAAUUAGGGUGGAUCUCAGGGAGGAAUAUUUUAGGACCUCCUUAAAAUUGAAACAUGAGGUCUUAGUAAAAAAUCAGGUUCAAAGGGCUGAUUGGGUAUGGAAUUUACUCUCAUAGAUUUUGUUGUGGGAAUUGAAUAGGUUUGCCAGAGGGGAUAGGUUCUGUACUAUCCAGUAGAACUUCCUGAGCCCUACAGCUGCGCUGUUGAUAAAAGUGUUGGGUUGUAUAAAAUGUUGAGUUGAUAAAUGUAUGGGGGAUAAAUGCAUAAAAGUGGAAUGCCCUACAGCUGCACUGUUCAGUAGGGUGGCCACCAGCCACAUGUGGCCCUUGAGCACUUAAAAUGUGCUUAGUGCAGCUGAAGAACUGGAUUUUUAAUUAAUUGCAAUAGCCACAUGUGGACAGUGGAAGACAAUAGGAGGAUUAAGUGGGAGGGGAAUGGAGGCUGACUCCCUGGCACCUGUACAUGGAUAUAGACAGAAACUUUUGUGAGACUUCUGGAAGGAUACUUGUUAUAGCAAUAGGAGGAAACUAAGGGCAGCUGGAAGAGGUGUGGGGUUUCAGUGAGGAGAUGACCAGGACAGGCACAGGACUCUGAAUAGAGGCAGGAGGAGGAAAGGGCAGAUUGAGACUUCAGUGCUGGGGAACACGGGAGGAUUUGGCAGCCAACUUAUUGUGGGUUGAAGUACAGUGAAGGUUGGCAGCUACUUCAAGGCUUCCAGCCUAGUGAUGGGGGAACAGCUCCUUUUUGCAUUGUCUAAUUUGUGCUGGCAUAGGAAUAUCUAGCUUGAGACACCUUGUAGACAGAAUGUGUAUCCUGAGGCUGUAUCAGAGAAGCAGGUUGGUAGAUGGAUCAAUUUAAUGUUUGCAGAGUGGUAGUAUUUAAUUCAUGUGCACAGAUGAUAUUCAGAGUUGUGUGUUUGAAAAAUAGUAGAGUCAGUGUGACUGGAAUGGAUUGAACAAGGCAGAGUGUGGUAGGAAAUGAAGUUGGAGAGGUAACCUUGUAGGCUCUGGGGCUACCAGGAGCUGUGUGGGUCGUGUAAAACUUUGGGUUAUGUUCUAGAUGUGAUGGGAAGUCUCUGGAAGAGUUGAGAAGGAGAAUGAAGGCGCUUCAUUGACCCUUGAAAAUGACCACUCUGAAUGCGGCACAGAGAGUAAUGAAAGAGUAAGUGAGGAGGUGGGGGUUCAUUUAGGUUGUUUCAGUACACCAGGUGGGAGAGGCGGUGGCUCAGACAGGAUAGCAGUGGCAGCUGUGGAGACAAGUGGUUGGAUUCUGGAUAAAUUGUGAAGGCAGAGUCGCCUGGAUUUGUUGUUGAAUGAGAUGUGUGGUGUGAGAGAAAGAGGGGAGUUGAGGAUGAUUCCAAAGUUUUGUCCUGAGCAACUGAGUGGUAUCAUUGACUGAGAUGGGAACACUGAAUGAGUACCAGGUUUCCAAACAAGAUAAAGUUUUGGACAUAAGCUAGACAUGCCCGUUAGAUGUCCUAGUGAGGCUGUCGAGUAGGAUUUGAACAUGUGAUCCUGGAGCUGUCUCAUGAUUUGGUGAGUUGUGACUUAUUUUUAAAGGAAGAUUUUUAAAGGAAGGAAGGAGCCAGAAGAGGAAGAGAAGCUAAAUGACAAAAGUAUUCAAGAGUGAGACAGAGGUUUUAGGGAGUGGGAAGUUGCAAGAUCCUGUUGUGGAAUGGAGGAGUUGACCCAGGAGAGAAACACGCCAUUCUGCUUAUACUGUCGUUGAAGCUGCAAAGCUAUCUUUCGAAGGGAUGUGCAUCGUGUGGGGUGGUGAUCACUGGAAAGAAUCCCACACUUAGAGGCUUUGGGAACAAGAAGGAGAGAAGGAGUGGGCCACAGAGUAUUUGAGGUUUAGUACCUGACGACAUAGCAACUGGGUAGAAGUCAAGCUAUAGGAUGACUUUGUCGUGUCGCAAGUCAAUUGGUGCCUGCUCCUUGUGCAUGAAUGUAUUUUGGGGCCAUUUAAUAAAAAUUGCAUGCCUUGGGGUUGAAUAACACAGUGGGAAGUGUUGACUGAAAUUGUUUUUGCAAGCAGGCAUAAGUGUCAGAAUUUAAGAGAAUUGUAUGCUGUAAAAAGAUUAUUUUAGAAGGAGGAACUUUUUCUAAUUUUUCUCAUUUGCCUGUAAGUAUUUGUCACACAAUCAUUUGCCUGCUUUUAUAAAUGUGGGAUUUCUAUUUACAUGUCAUAUUUCAUAUUUUCCCAUUAAAAUGGCACAUCUUGGGUUUAUUUGGCAUUUGUUCUUAGUCUACUUAGACUUUUAGGCAUUGGAAUGUUUACUUUUAAAAAAACAAGAUUUUCUGUUAUUGUUACUGACUUAUGAUAUACCACUAGGGCAAGAUAAGGGCUUUUGAAGAACCGUAAGGGAAUACAUAUUCCAGAGCGUAUUUUCUUGAAUUCCACUUACCUCCUCUAAUUCACUGAUCCUUACCUGCCAAAGUCAACAGAAAGAAAGUGAAUGAAAAGAAAUUAAAUUGAUCAGACUCACAACUUGUUGGCAAUUCUGAUAAAAGACUUGAGAUAGAGGAUUUACAUAUUGUUGAUAAACCUUUACAUCAUUUAUUGACUCAUAGUCCCCUCUGUUUCUGAACCUGCAUGAGUAACCAAUAGUUGCUUAAAUAGAUAAAAUUAGAAUUCUUUCCAUGGGAUUCCUUUCUGUUUAUAGGAUAGGAUCCCCAUGUUAUUGGCUAGUGAUUUUUCCUUUCUUGCAUUUGUUGGAAUGGCCCAUUGUUGAAGAUCAACAGGCAUUAAUCAGUAGUGAAUCAGUCUUGCCUCCUUGUCAUCUUGUUAUAGCAGCUCCUGCGACUGGACUGUGGUCAUGCCUCGUGGGUUGGCAGUAGGGAACAGGACUUCCUUCAGACACUCGUGCUUAAGCAGCUGUUUCUCUUUCUCCAGAAAACACUGGUUUCCCCAGCCCCCAACUGGUUCUUCCCUGCUGAGAAGCCAAAAUAUGCCAAAGUCACUGCUAGACCAGUUCCAUCCCGUGAUAGUGCAAAUGACUCCAGUGCCUUUCCCUCCCACCCAGAUUUUCCCAACAUAAGCUUUUCUCCUCUUUGUCAAGAGCUUAUUCUGUCAUCUUGUUUCCCUUUCCCUAUAAAUAAUCUAUUUUUUCCCACCAGACUCACGGAACAGAGGCGUGCCCCACGUUGUAUGCUUGCACUGAGCAUUCUUUCAGCGUUCUUUACUUGCUUGACCUUUUAGUUAUUUUCUUUCAUCCCUACCGAGGUCUCCAAACUGAGGUCGUGAAAGGUCAGAGUUUUAAAAAUAUAUAUCAACUGAAUGCUUUUCUUCAGAAAACUGAGCACCUCACUUUCUGGAUAUUCGCAGAGGUUCCCUGGUCUGCAGUGACCCUUGCCACACAUUUCUUCACUAUUUUCACUUCAUGGUUUAGAUGCCCUGGUGAUAGUGAGGAACUGUAAAUAAGCACGGUCUGAAAGUGUCAGGAGGAGCUCAGAUGAUCCUGAGCUCUUUGGUCUUUCUCUUGGUUUAGAAUUCCUCAAGACCUAUUGUAGUGACUUCUUUUACUCGACUCAGAAUUCCAGGGCUUUGGUGCUCCUUAAGUCUCAGAAGAAACGCAUGGUUAUGGUGUCUGUCAACUUGCUGUUUAUUGAAAUACCUUUUAUUGUAAUGCACCAAGUAAAGACGAGGUGAUGUGGGCACUAACUUAAUGAUAUUACACAAACACACUUAAUUGCACUUAGGGAGUUCAGCAUGACAUUAGUGAUUUCAUACAGUGAAUAAGUCUCUUCUCUUUUGUUUGACAAGUUUUGUUGUCAUUUAACAGAUUUGCUUCAUGGGAGGUAAACUUAUACUUUCUAAGGAUGAAUGAGUGCUUUGCAACUAAUGGGUCAUAUGUUGGAAUUUAAACAUAUUAAAGAGUUAAUUCAUUUCAAGAACUUACUAGUAAAUAUGCACUACCCACAAGAGAUUUUUAGAAUAACCUCUUUUGAAUGAUUAAUAUUUAUAUGUAAUCAUGUGCAUAUUUUAUUUGAGAUUUUCAGGGUAUAAAUGUCGAUGCAAUUUCCUUUAAUAAAGGAAUGAUAUAUAUGAGCCAAAGUAGUGAUGUAUUCAUCAUAGAUAACGUCUCACUGAUUUCCAUUUGCCCCCGAAGGCAUCCCAAAUUUGGAAGGGCCAUUGUUGUUUCAUCAUAGACUCCUUGGCCAUGACUCUUAUAUAGACAUCUGAGGAAAUGCUGUGGCAAGUUUCUUGUACCUACUUUGGUAAUUGUAAACCAUCCAGGACCGUAUCCUUUAGGUUUAAUUUAUCUUGCUCCUCUUUGCCCCUCUUUUCCAAGGGAGGGUUUAGAAGAUGAAUUAUACUCAAGAGUUAGUGUUUCUCCAGAAGAUCAGACCACAAGUUGUAGAAAGCACACCAGAACUUUGCACUUCUGCCCUUUAUCUUAAUUCCUAGCCCAUGCUUAAGCCUUUUAGGAUCUAUCUACAUCCACCUCACAUAACCAUCUAGAAUUCUCCCAAAAUCUUGUUUCAGUAGCCUGGGAAUCAUGGCAGUUAUAUCUGCAUUUGUGUGUUUCCUGGCCAUAUAGUAAAAAUGGCAAAAGAGAUUUAUAUGGUCAAAUCCCUAGCCUUUCCAUUCCUUUGCUUUAUAAAUGAAUAACAGUGAUCUAAAAGCGAAAGAAUGUAGCUAACCAGUGUCAUUUGGGAUCUUCUGAAGUAGUACGGAAACUCCACAUUCUUCAGACCAACUUGCGGCAUGCCAGCACAUUCCUCUCCGAUGAGGUGGAGGAAUACUGGUGGCUGGCCUGGGACUUGUAGGACUGGGGCGGGGAGCUGCUGUUUAAAAAUACAUUUAAUUAUAUUCCUUCUCUGCAGUAACAUUGAUACCAUUUUUAGCCCAUUACAAAUACUGUGAUUUUCAUUUAAAUCACGUCCAUUAUCUUAUUGACCUAGUUUUUAUUUUGUAAUCAAAAUGUUCUAUUUCUGGAUAGCCUCACCCAGAAUCUUUUUUUUUUUAAAGGUUACAGACCCUUUGUGCAGUUUUUUCCUUUCGUAUCUGCGUACAGAUGGGCUGCAUCUGUGUUCACACAGCAGAAAAUGGUACUAUAUUGUUCCCUUUAAGAGUGUGGGUUUUCUCUACUUAAUCUCGGACUCUUCAUGGAGACACAGCUGGCAAGAUGCCACGAGACCUCGCAUUUGGUAACUGUUUUGGUGAAUGGAUAUUGGGAGAGUUAAGUAAUCCUAUUUCUAUUCGAAAUGAGAAUCCUGAUUCUCUUCUUCCAUUUUUGCUCUUUCUCUGUUCGUCUGCUAGUUCCCUCUGUGAGCCUUCUCUUUCCUCCCCGCCUCUCCAGCCGUCCACUAUGAACCUCACGUAGCCCUGUCUUCAUUCAUGCCCUCUCGGGUGCUCCCUGCUGCUUGUAAGAUCCCACUUAUUUCUGGCCUUUGCUUUUUCUACAUUUCUUUCUCUCCUGUUUCCUUCUUUCCCUCUUACCUUCUCUUCCUUGCUGUCAGCCAUGUAUUUCUGCACUCUGGUUGGAAGCUCACCCUGCAAAGAACACCCCGGAGGUGUUUCCAGGGCUCAGCUGUUUUUCACUCAUGUCUAGGCAGGGCCUUGAGGCCCCUGAGGAACUUUCAACUUUGCCCUCAAGACUUCCUCUUAAUAUUAUUAUUAUUAUUAUUAUUAUUAUUAUUAUUAUUAUUAUUAUUAUUAUUUGAGGCAGAGUCUCGCCCUGUCACCCAGGGUGGAGUGCAGUGGCGUGAUGAUCUCUGCUCACUGCAACCUCCAUCUCCCGGGUUCAAGCAAUUCUUCUGCCUCAGCCUCCUGAGUAGCUGGGAUUACAGGUGUGCGCCCUGACGCCCAGAUAAUUUUUGUAUUUUUAGUAGAGACAGGAUUUCACGAUGUUGGCCAGGCUGGUCUUGAACUCCUGACCUCAAGUGAUCCACCCACCUUGACCUCCCAAAGUGCUGGGACUACACACAUGAGCCACCGUGCCUAGCCUCUCAAUAUUGUUUUUCACUGUCCUUCUUGACACAUGAAAAUAGGCUGUGCUUCUCUUGAGGCAAUAAUUGGAUCAGAAUUUUAGGAUUUUUGCAUGACCAGCCAUUUUAUUUUGUAGGCGAGGAAGCAGAAGACCUGAGAAUGACUUCCCCUAAGAUUCUGAGGCAAUGGAGUGGCAGGACCAAGUCAGCCACCCCAUCUUCCCCUUCCCACUAUGUGGUUCUCCUCUUACUGCCCUCUGUCUUAGCCGGGGAAUCUUACAGAUGUUGCAUCUGGUGCUUCCUGGUGUUCAUUUCUUCCAACCACCAUUUGCCCUUGCAAAUACCAUUCGGUAUGAAAGUAUUUUAGAGCAACUGAGUCUUCAGUGUGUCACUUUAUUGCCAAAAGAAGACACAAACGAUGGAGUACAAUGGUAGGAGUCUCCGGCUGGGUUCUCAGGGAUUUUCUCAGGAAUUAUGUUUUGCUCCAAGUCGUUUCAGUUGACGUAUUCAUUCCUCAGAACCGGUAGAUGACUAUGACAUAUAAUACCCAAGCUUGAGCUCUUUCCUGUCUAACUGGAGUCUCCCUUUUAAUCAGGAAACCACAUUUAAAGCUGUGUCCUGAACUCUGCCCAGCAUGUCAGCUUGGCCAGGAAGGACAGGGAAUUCCUACUGGUAGUAGCCACUGGGGACUGAGGGAGUCACGGGAGGUCAGAUGGGAGCUUAGCAAGAAAGACAGCAGCAGCACAGGGUACAUUCAGGCUGCUAGGAUUGUCUUUUUGUUUGCGAAACUCCCUCCCUGGUUGAGGUCAGGAAAAACCUAGGAUAGCAACCCCCUGGGCCGGUGACCCCACACUAGGAUUUUGUGAUCUAACCAUUUAAAAAAAAUUGUUUUUAAUUGAGGAGGUUUAACAUAGUGUUUAGCUUUGAUCUUGAGAAGUAAGGAUAUUAAAAACAGCAAUGUUGAGAUUGUCAUGUAAUGUUACAGUCCUUUCAUGAAAGAACAGGCACUUCAGAAUCAGAAGUAGGAAGAAUAAAAUCUCAGAAUGAAGGCUAGUCCUCUAUUCUGUACACACGUAGCUUCAGGAAAAACUUGUACUGUGUUAUCCAGAUAUUUCCUAUUUAGCCACAGGUCAGCAAAAAUUCUAUCACAGAAGCAGUGUUGGUCUGUGAUACUUGGGAACCACCAGCCUUCACUCCAUGGUUGGUGCAUCCCUGCCCCUGUUUCCAGGAGCAGUGUGCAUGAGGAAGAUGGCGUAAUGACAGCACAUCAGUGCCUGGCUCAUAUGUCAUCAGUGCUCAGGAAAUUGAGUUGAUUUUUAUUCUCUUAGAUAGUCCAUAUAGCAGAGACAUAAAUUAGGCUGGAUGACCAUUUCAGGUUGGAUUUCAAGGGACACCGCUCUUCCUUGGCUUUUUUCAUCGGAGACUAGGAUCUUAGCCUCAGCUUUGCAGAUCUGAAGCUGGAUUUUUAUCAUGUAUUUUAUGGAUGACCUGGAAAUACUUACACGUCCAAGCUCACAGGAGGCUACCCCAUAAACAAAAAUAUCAGCUCAUUAUUUUGCGGAUGAAAGAUAGGCUUUUUCAGAGACCACAUUGAUGGAUCAGUCUGCCUCCCAGUCAUAUGUCCUUCCCACAGCUGGAGGUAGGGAGUGGAUGCUAGGGUGGCAAUUACGGCACACACUUUCCUUGAGGAACACAGAAUCAGUGCAAUGGCAGUUGGUUGACUGAGUUUAUUCCAGUCAAGUUAAGGAAGAGCCCAUUCUACUUCAUUGACAUUGUUUUCUCUUUGUUGAGAGACAUUAAAACAUAGUGGUUAAGAAUAUAGAUCCAGGAGCCGGGCGCAGUGGCUCACGCCUGUAAUCCCAGCACUUUGGGAGGCUGAGGCAGGCGGAUCACCUGAGGUCGGGAGUUCGAGACCAGCCCGACCAACAUGGAAAAACCCCGUCUCUACUAAAAAUACAAAAAAAAAAAUUAGCCGGGCAUGGUGGCGCAUACCUGUAAUCUCAGCUACUCGGGAGGCUGAGGCAGGAGAAUCCCUUGAAUCUGGGAGGUGGAGGUUGUGAUGAGCCAAGAUCAUGCCAUUGCACUCCAGCCUGGGCAAUAAGAGCGAAAUUCAGUCUCAAAAAACAAAAACAAACAAACAAACAAAAAGAAUAUAGAUCGGGAGUCAGAAUGCUUGUGUACAAAUUCAAGCCUUGCUUCUUACUACUUUUGUGGUAUUGGGCAACUUAUUUCACCACCAUUUUAUCAUCUGUAAAUGGGGAUAAUAAUAUUUGCCUCAUAGGUUUGUUUUGGUGAGGAACAACUUAAGUUUUGGUGAGGAACAAACAUAGGUUUGUUUUGGUGAGGAAAGGAGUUAAUACAUGGAAAGUGCUUAAAAUAGUGUUUGGCAUAUAAUAAAUGGCAAUAAAUAUUAAAUAUUAACAUGUAAUGUUAAAUAAUACUUAAUAUUAUUACUAAUAUUACCAAGGAAGCUAGUUUUGUGGUGGACGUGGAAAAACGAACACAAAUCAGACAGGCAGAAUUGGUUAGAGUCUUACCCUUUAACUUUCCUUACUGUAGAAUUCACUCUCCACUAACCUAUGGUUUCCAUUUGUUAUUCUUCAUUGUUUCAGUGGAUUUUCCAACUGUGUCACUCUGUCUAGAUUGUUCUUUAAUGAUUACAUUUAGAGUUGACUAUUCCUUGUUGACAUAUGGAGAGACGCUUUGAUCUGAAACCAUCAAAGGCUUCUCUCUCCAUGUCACAUCUUUGGAGAGGCUUCUGGUCAUGGUAUGUGGACCCAUGUCAGCUUCUCUUUCUAGGUCACCACCUUUUUUGGCCUUUACCCCUUGAGUUUGAACUUUGACUUAUUUAGUAGUGGCAAGAGAAGCCCCAUGGCUCUUGAUAUACCAAGUACCAACCUGUCUGCCAGAUACUGAAAGAUGCCGAGAUACUUACACAGUUGUUCUUUAAAAUAAUAAGCUGCACAAAUAAUAGUAAAGCUGAUUCUGAAACUAGUUUUUUUGUUUGUUUGAUUGUAUGUUUUUUGAGAUGGAGUCUCACUGUGUUGCCCAGGCUGGAGGGCAGUGGCGCGAUCUCGGCUCACUGCAAGCUCCAUCUCCUGGGUUUACGCCAUUCUCCUGCCUCAGCCUCCCAAGUAGCUGGGACUACAGGUGCCCGCCACCAUGCCCAGCUAAUUUUUUGUAUUUUUAGUGGAGACAGGAUGGUCUCGAUCUCCUGACCUUGUGAUCCACCCGCUUUGGCCUCUCAAAGUGCUGGGAUUACAGGCGUGAGCCAUGAAACAAGCUUUUUAUGUGAUUUCUCAUAUUUUGCCAAACCAAUAGGGCAAAGAAACCACUGACAUGAUUUUUUUUUUUUAAUUUCUCCUCUCCCACCCCGCCGGAGAAACUAAACAACUAUUUUACAGUGGAAGCCAAUAGCAAAUUGACUGGUAUUCAGGAUGCCUUUUGUAGAAGGCAUGCAUUCCAUCUUAUCUGUAGAUAUGUCUAACACCUGUAAUAUGAUCAUUUUUCAAUUUCCUCACUAAACUCACAGUGAUAAAUUACAGUUAAUAUUGGCCAUUAAAAUAUUCUACUGUAAAAUAUUCCAGGUACCUUGGCCACUGAAGCAAAUUAAUCCAUCUACCACCUAUCUGUGACAUAAUGAGAAAUUUAAAAUGAUAAUCAGCUGAAACUUUCCUUCUGUAAGUAACACUGUCAAUUCCUACAUCGAAGAAUUUUUUCUUAAAGCUCUAUUGCCUUCCCAUCUCUUCAAGGACAGGUGUUUAUUCCUUGACUCCUAUAUCACUUUCCACUCCAGCUAGAAUUAACGAUGUAAUUGGGCUGUUUACUUAUUUUUUUUGUUCAUCGCCAGAUGAGAAGUCAGAGGGUUCUCCCACCAGAUGCUAAGUUUCUGAGAAGAGAAGAGGUAGUAGGCUAGAAGCACUGACUGUUUCCAGCUUUGCAGUCAAGGUUUUCUACUAAAGAGUAUUGCAUCCUGUUGUCAAGACUGUGUUGGGUUUUCUGCUUAAGGCAUGGACAUCUCUCUGGUCUUCUGCAGUGAUGUGGUCCAUGUAAAAUGACCAGCAGUCUCCUUUCUAGGGGUCAGCUGUGCUGUGUAAGUGGAAAUUAAGAUUUUCAUAUAGGGACCGUCCACAUCAGCCAAUGAAGAGCCACUCACCCUUCCACUAAUCCUCUGGAGGUGAGACUGUCCUAUUUGGGGUCUACUUUGCAUUUGUUGGGCCUGGAUAGUCUAAAGACUACUUGUUUGUGAGAUCCCAUCUAUCCCAGGAUCUGAGGCUCUGUAGGUGUGAAAAUAUCUUUAACAGCCACAGAGCAGCUCAACUUUAGGUUCUAGGACCUUGUAGUCAAGAAUGUUCAUGAAUUGAACUCCACGAAGUAGAUGUUAGAGAAGUUUUAAAAGAGAAUGUGGCCGGCCGUGGUGGCUGACGCCUGUAAUUCCAGCACUUUGGGAAAGUCGAGGCAGGCAGAUCACUUGAGGUCAGGACUUUGAGACCAGCCUGGCCAACAUGGCGAAACCCCGUCACCACAAAAAAAUAUAAAAAUUAGCCAGGUGUGGUGUCAGGUGCCCAUAAUCCCAGCUACUCGGGAGGCUGAGACAUGAGAAUUGCUUGAACCCAGGAGGUGGAGGUUGCAUUGAGCCAAGAUCGUGCCAGCACACUCCAGCCUGGGUGACAGAGCACAACUGUGUCUCAAAAAAUAAAAAGAGCAUGUAACUAUUUGGCUUUCCAAAUAAUUGUGUAAGGCCAAGGUAUCAGACCACCCAGACCUCCUCACACUGGCUCAGUGACCCCCUUGUAAGACAGGUGCUGUGCUAUAUUCUCCUGCAGGGCCUCAGCCAGCCUCAAAAUUUUGACCUUCUUUUCUGAACAAAUGACCACUGAGUCCCACCUCUAGCUAGGCCCCCAUCCUAAGCAUGGGACCCGUAUGUCCAAAAGCUUGUCUGACAUCCUGCUCCAAGUAGCCAGCUGGCCUCAUCACAGUCAACUUGUGCAACAGGAGCCUCUUCCUUACCCAGCCACUGUCAUUGACUUCUCUGUGCCACUGGGAUAUUCCCACAGUCACUCUGGCUGAGCACCUUGGAACUUCUCCGAAUACCGUGUCCACUGAGUCUCCAAAUGAGGGUCAUUCCAUCUCCCCAGUGUUCCUCCAAGCCUCUCUACUCAUUUCCCAUCCUAACGUCCUUACUCUUCACCCUCUUGCAUAGCCUCGUAUUACUAUUGUCACUCAUUAGAAGUCAGGCUGAGGAUUCGAGCAUGCCCGUGGCUGGGCACCUUUUCCACGCUUUGUGGGGGGCAGAAGAAUCAGGGCCAGGCUUGUGCUUAGGCAGGAUAACCUGGCCAAGUAACCUGGCCUCUCUGAGAUUCAGUUUGCACACCUGUAAAUCAAGAAUGCCUGGCUCACAGGGCCCUUGAGGGCUUGAUGUCAUAAGGAAGAAAUCAGGCAAGGAAGGAAAUAGACAAAACCUGGAAUCCAGUACUAUAUCCUGUUUCUGACUGCUAGUAAUAUUAAAAGGAUAUGUGUUUUCUUGGUCCCUUACAGAGGUUUCCCCAGCCUUUUUUUAUGCCCAGACACAGGCUAACAUUUGUUGAAGACACUAGGGUUACCCAGCUAUCCUGGGUCUUGCUCGGCUGCUUGAGGACUGAUGAGAUCAAAAUCUCUAUGGGUGUGGAAUGCAUUUGAAAUACAUCAUAGUUGGGGACUCAGUCUCACAGUUCCUGAGCAAUAUGCCAUCUUCCCUUGGUGGUAUCCAUUCAUUCUUAUCAGAGCUCUGUGUGUGUGUGUGCGUGCGCACGCACACACAUGUCCGUCUGUCUCUCUUUUUGGUUUGUUUGGUUUCGCAGUGUGGGUUUUUUGUUUUUGGUUUCUGAGGGAUUUUGAUUAUUUGUUGCUCUUACAUAACCUUCUUUUACCUGGACAAUGAAUAAUCAGUCAUCAAAUGACUCCUCAUCCUGUGUCUCAUUCUUCAGCAAAUAUUUACUGUGGUUAUUCUACGUGAUGCUUUGGGGGAACAAAGGUAGAUGAAUAUGUCUCCUCCCCAACCUCAGGUGCUGAUAGUCAUGAGGUAUAAUGUGAAACCUAAAAAUGAGGGGGAAGAGCCAAGGAGCCCAGCUGUUGGAGUGUGGGGUAACCCUGAACUCUGGAAAUUUAGUUUGGAAACUACUUGUGCUGCAACAUUACCUGGCCAACCUCAGAACCCUGUACAAUAGCACACCCAGAGACAGAGUUUUGGUGGCCUAUGGCCUGAUGUCCUCACUGUGGGUCAUGGGGGCUUGGUGCUGGGUGGCGAGGGAGAAGUCAAACAGGCCUUUUGAUUAGCCGAGCAUGGUGGCGCAUGCCUGUAAUCCCAGCUACUCAGGAGGCUGAGGCAGGAAAAUUGCGUGAACCCGGGAGGCGGAGGUUGCAGUGAGCCGAGAUCGCCCCACUGCACUCUAGCUUGGCAACAGAGCGAGACUCCGUCUCAGAAAAAAAAAAAAAAGGGCCUUUUGUCAAUCAUCAUUCUCUUGUUUCAGGGGUUUGGUGUAUCUAAUCUCCCAGACAUCAAUGAUACCUAAAGUCUUCUUUCUACGGUGCUGUGUUGUUCACAACUUGCCUUAUUUCCUUUCAUCCUCAUAGGAACAUGGGAAGUAGGCAUUAUUUUUAUUUUCUCCAUAUUUUAAUUGAGGAAACCAAGAAUCCUCUGAGAAGCUAGGUAGGGUAGCUUGUCCCAGAGAGUAAUGGGCCAGGGACAUAAGCCAGCCCAGGCAGUUGUCACUCAACCAUCCGCUUCUCUGGAGGUCCAUUUGCCCCAGCAUAAAGUUUUGUCACAAAGUCACUUCAGUGUGCAAAGAGAAAGUUUCCCCUAAUACUGAUGGGACACUUAUCCCCUUGUGGGGAGCAGGAGUCCAAGGAGCUUUGAGUUUCCAGAAGAGGAGGAUGACAGGUCAGGAAAGACUGGAGACAGACUUUCUUGAUGCUACCAGUGGUGAAGAAUCCAGUCAUCACAACUCAUUUGCCAGCUUGGCUGACUUUGACAUUUGCUGUGCUCUGGAUGGAAGGACUGGAGAAGACAUCAACUUGAAAGUUUAAAAAAAAAGAGAGAGACUGUCUAGAAUCUGAUUAUGUGUUUUAACAGCAGCCCCCUUGAACCACAUUUACACAGCUAUUUUACAAAGUGAGAUCCGUGCAUAAUUUUCCACCAACAACUUUGGAUGGCUUCCAUUAGACUUGGUAUCCAAGCAUAUCCCUCCAGUCCUGUCAGCCACAGAAUUGUUUGCCUGUUAACAUCUGAAUUUCUGUGUGUAAUCAUUGCAUUGAGAGCUCAGGGAAGCCAGUUAAUCAUACACUAUUCAGGCAUCUUUUUAGUUCUCUGGAGGGUUUUUCCACCUAUGGACUUGAUCAGUGAAGUCCUGUUUCAUGAAUGGUGUGAACAUAAUAGAGUGAAAGGCACUGCGGACUUUAAGUCAGAACACCGAAGUUCUUGACCUCGGGCAAAUCACUUGUUUUUUCCAAGCCUCAAUUUCCUUAUCUGUCAAGCAAGAUCAUAAAGUAGCUUUAAGAAUUUUAGAAGUGCUUUAUAAAUAGAAAAGUGUGAUUCAAAUCUCAUCUUUUGGUCCACAUGCAUUUUUAUAUCUAGGACAAUGAUAUAACUUUACUUACCUUGACUUAUUAGAUUAACAUAAUACAGAACAAAAAUUCUUUUUCAUACCUAUAUUUUAGAUACAUAAUGUGGAUUCUAUAGAUUUCUUUGAUGCCUUUUUAUUCCCAAAGAGUUCGAAGCUGUGCCCCUGGUAUGCCUGCUGUAUUUAUAAGUCUGUGAUUGGUUAGUCAGUUGGUUAGAACAGAGGGCUAAUUAGCAGAUUAAAGCAAGCCCCUAAAGUAGACCCUUGAGGAAUCUGCUAUUCCAGAGUCUCCUAUUCUGUGAAGAUAGUUCCCGUCCUAGUUAAUGCCAGCAUUUGGAUCUGUGGUCUGUGCAUUAACCUCAAUCCUUAUCGAACCUUCUAGUGUGGGUCAUGGAUUCCUUCUUUGUGCAUGCAAGUUGGCUUUGUGACUAUUCCACAGUCACAGAUCACACCCAGAGAUUCAGCCGACUAUUCCCGGAUAUCUGAUGUUUGUUGCAAAAAGGUUAGUGGGAGCGUGUGGAUGACUUGCCCCAAACCCAUCCCCACUACUGGAGAAACACCUCUACAUGGCCUGAAGCAUCUCUGUUCUGAGGACAGCCCUUUACAUUAACAAUUGUUUACCAGGUGCCGAAUGCUUAUCAUCUGAGAGAGCAGAACUCACAGGUGUGCAGGCUAGGUAACAGGAAUAUAUGCUUGAAAGCAGUGCUUUAUCCACUAUCUGGAAAAAAAAAAAUAUGUUGAGCAGGUAUUGAGAUUGGCAGCCGCCAUUCACACAAAGAAGAGCCAAGAGCAAGGGGCUGGGAGCCAGAGAAGGUGAUCAGAUUUGGCAGGUAGAGGUGACUCUCAGACACAGGGACACUCAGGGCCUUUUUACUGCAGCUACAUGUGGGAGCUCUCACCUGAAGUUCUUCAAACAUGUCUCUCUCUGGAAGGGGUUUUGAUCGCUUAGUUACAGAUGGAAAACUCCAGCAUAGUUAAGGUAGAUGACCUAGUCAGCCCAGAGAUCAAUGGCAGAUUGAAAUAACACCUGUGGAUAUUUUGCUCCAUUUAGAUGAGACUUGAAGGGAUAGAGGUCCACAGGGAGCUGAGAUUGAGGCUGUGCCUUUCUCUUGUUUCACAUUAAAGAGUGUAUGAUUAUUGUACUUAUUGGCAGAGAGACUCCUACUGGAUGGGACACUUAUUUUUUUUUUUUUUCAUUUUUUUUUUCCUGAGACGGAGUCUUGCUUUGUUGCCCAGGCUGGAGUGCAGUGGCACUAUCUCAGCUCACUGCAACCUCCACCUCCCAGGUUCAAGCGAUUCUCAUGCCUCAGCCUCCCAAGUAACUGGGACUACAGGUGCAUGCCCCCACACCUGGGUAACUUUUGUAUUUUUUUUUUAGUAGAGACAGGGUUUCACCAUGUUGACCAAGCUGUUCUUGAACUCCUGACCUCAAGUGAUCUACUUGCCUCCGCCUCCCAAAGUGCUGGGAUUACUUCCUGAGCCACUGCACCCAGCCUGAGUGGGACACUUAUUGAUGUCUUACAUCCGUCACAAGGGAGGGUCCUUGUGGCCACCUUUGGCUCCCUCAGCACAGGGUGUGGGGCUGCUAUGGCCCUGCGAUUCCUACACGGUCUGCACACCCCACGUUGACCCCCAGAGAGGUCUUGGACACCAAAGGGGAUGCCCUGGGAAGUUCUGCCAGGGUUUCCUGUGCUGCUGGGCUGCUCCCUGCACUGGGCAGUAAACCAAAGGUCACAGACUCUGCAGACGUACAGCCUUUGUUGCACAGUGGAAGUCCCAGACCACAGGGGUCCAAGUUAAUUAAUCACACUGGGGAAACUACUCCAUUGAAGUUGGACAUAACAGGAUGAGAGAGAAGUGACUGAAACUGAUUAAGAAUGGGCUUAACUGAAGAGCUAAGCUGCCUCAAAUCCUUCAUGGAAGUUGACAGGAUGUAAAUAAUAAAUUAUAAAUAAACAAAAUGUAAGAGCUAAAUAAAGUUCCAUUAAAUAUACCAUCCCUCACAGAUGCAAAUGUUUCAAGGUGGAAUUAGCUAACUUGUGCUUGACAUUGAGAGCGGAUCCAACCUCAGAUACUUUUCAUCCAAGUAUUUUUAUCCAAGCCCUAUAGAGUAGCAAUAAUGAGUAAAAUGAUAGACCGCGGUCUAAAGUACUGAACCAAGGCAACUAAGCUGAUUUUUCAACCCAGCCUGAACUUGAGGGAUUAAAGUUUUUUAGUCAAAAGAUCUUAAGACACAACGUGAACCUUCGCACCACAUGAAGCAUGAGUUCCGUCAGGUAAGUAUACAUUCUUCCUUAUAAUUUUUCUCUACUUAGCUUGACUACUUUUUUUUCUGUCCUAUUUGUAGCAUUGUACUGCACCUUAGGAGGGGAUUUAUCCAAUAGUCAGUGAGACAAAAACUGAGCAAACAAAAUUACUCUUCCAAUCCCUAGAAAGGCAGCAGGUUAGAGACUGUUAGGUCUCACGUGGUCAUUUUUUCCCCUACAUUAUUGGAAUAGAUAAUUAGCUCUUUCUUUGGUUGAACCUAGGGGAGGUACUGUGGGAGCUCACUUAAUCCAUCUGCCAGUUAACAUGUUCUCUCUCUUCCCUGUGAAUGAGCGCACCAACCUCUAUCUAUGGCAGUCAGUUAAUGGGCUGCUCUCCAGUGAGCCAUCCCACCCAUCCCAUCAGCUCAGUUGGGGGCCUGUUGAGAGUAUGUGCUCCCAAACCUAAGUAUGCCAGUUGUACUUAUUCUAAGACAUGUAGCUAAGUAACGUUUAAACAAAUGAAAUAUGAGUGGGAGAAGGAGAGCUGUCUCGAAAAUUAUAUUGUUGCCUUGAAAAGACUUGUUAAUGAUGAAUUUGCUAAAAAAUAAAUUGAGGCCAAAUUAAAUACAAACAAGAUAACUCUAAAAGAUUGAGGAGAAAGUCAAAAAUCUAGGCAGAUUCUGUGGUCAGAUGGCUUUUCAGUUGCCUUUGGGUUUUUUUUCUCUUCUUUAAAGAAAGAGAACCUGAAAAUCAUAGCAAAUUUCCUGGUUUAUACAGGAAAGAUAAUUAGGAAUUCCAGACAGUGGACCCAUCUUCAAAGAUAAGGCAUGGCCCCUGUACUUCUACCAAGUUUGAGAUGAGUAUACACUUAUAGUUUGGAUUAAGGAUGUCUUUUGUAGGGGCGGCAGCCGGCUGCGUUGUAUAAAGUAUACCUGUCUAAUGAGCAUAUAAAGAUGCUGUCACUCAACAGGUUACCAGAGAACUGAGCCAGGCUGAGGAGCGCGCAGACACACAUCGCCCUUGACAUGCUCAUCGGGACACAGACCAAUUGAGGGAAACUGGGCAGAACCAUCUUUACACUUUCUCACAAAUGCACUUCCUCCCUCUCUCCCCACUUCCUUCUCUUCCUCCUGUCCCCCACCCCCUCUCUUCUUCUCUCUCCUUCUUACUCCCUAAGCAAUGUAGUUGAGUUCAAAGAACUUAAUGCUCCUAUGAUGUGACUCUGAAAUAAACAGGGAGAAACCAUUUGGAGUUGACCAACAGAGUAUAUUUCAAAGUACUUGUUCCAUGGAAGAUCUGAUCUUUGGCUUUAAAAAGUUUUAAAUAUGUUUAAUUAUGUGAAUCCAACACACACACACACACACACACACACACACACACACACACUUCCUUAAAAUAAUAAGCUUUAAUUUUUUAAAGUGUGACUUAACAUUAGAUAGUUCAGGAAAACACUUAUUUCUCCUAAAGUGAGAUCAGGUUGUAGUGAAACAAAUCUUAUUUGAAGUGUCCUAAAAUACAGUGUGUUUUAAGUUGUUUUCUGUUCUCUUUGGUCCAAAAACAUUUUGCAAAGACCUUCCUCUGUCUCUGUGUCGUGUCUAGAUUCUAUAGUGGAGCACAAACAACUGCAGGAAAAAAUGUGAGAGUGCCUGUAGAUACUGGAACAUGUUAACAGAGGUAUUUGAGAACCCUCAGGAAGAAUAACAUUUUACAGUGAGGUGAUUGUUAUCUUUAACAAUAAAAGCCAUAUGAAUGUGCUAUAAUUAAGGCUAAUGUGGAAUGCUUAAAAUCAUAAAACAGGUAUGAUCAUUGGAUUCCUAUUCACCCAGGGAAUGCAGAUCCCAAAGAUAAGUAUGCCGGAACAUGAACUUUGUGAGAAAACAGGAAUCCACCCACCUCCAAUAAACAAGAGACUGUCCUUCAUUUCAGUUAUAGCUCUUCAGGGUUUAAUUUGGAUAGAUGUGAGGUGUUUUAUUCUAGAGCAUAAACUAGAUGCUUCUUUCAAGUUAAUGGGGAGCAACUGAUGGCUACUGGAUUAACUAGAAAAGAAAUGUUCCUCUCUGCAGUUCUGGACAAUACCACAAUUUAAUGACAUUUUACCUGAGUGGACUUUUAAGAAGGAUAGAUUUGUCUUUUGCCUGUCAGGGCAUAGAUCCAAAUUCAGAGCAGAUGGUGGGAAAGAUGAAUGGCCACAGAGAUCUCCAGGUAGAAUUGGUUGGAUUUCCUCAAUCCUCAUUAAUUCCUGAUUGAUAGUCAUCCAUCUCCAUCUUCUCUAACCAUCCCUAAUGAACCCUGAUUUCUGAGGAUUUUCUGGGUCUAGAAUAACUAAAAUGUGCUGACUUAAACCCAGAACAGAUAAGAUAACUACCUGCCUGAUGUUUCAGGCUUUUGAAAGAAAGGGGCUUGUCUCAACCUGAAACCCCAUUUUCCUUACGUUUAGCAAUAAUACAGUCAUGGAUUUUCUGUUCUGAUAAUAAAGAGACACAAAUGGGCAGGAUGUGAACCCCAAAGCUCAGGGAGAGUGUUUAAGAGACAAAUUGCUUCUAUGUUGUUCAGGUAAAACCUAGUAAAAGAGAGACUUUUUGGUUCUUAGAUUGUCUGGCAAGAGACUCUAAGCCAUCCUUGACCAAGCAGGACUGACAGGGUGUCACCCCAGCUAUGGGAAUGAGGCAUAAGAAGAAGCACAUGAUUGUGGGGAAAUCCCAGAAGUGUUCUGGGCCACUGAGGUGAAGAGAGGGCCCCAAGAUCAGUGGAAGGAGGGACCCAGAGGAAGUACUGGAUAUAGCAAAGCUACAUGGAUUUAAAACAAUGCCUGUGUGGGCGUCUUGAUUAGUGGCCUGAUAUUCCUCAUUACUUCCAUAUUAGGGCAGGCUUAGUGACAUACAGUUGUCCCUCCAUAUACACCAGGGUAUUGGCUCUGGGACCCCCUGGAUACCCAUAUCCAUACAUACUGAAGUGCUUCAGUUGGCCCUGCAGAACCCACCUAUAGGAAAAGUCGGCCCUCCAUAUGUGUGGAUUUCAUGUCCUGCAAACACGGUAUUUUCAAUCUGUGUUUGGUUGAAUAAAUCCGAGUAUAAGUGGCCCUGCGCAUUUCAAACCCUUGUUCAAGAGUCAACUGUAAUUGUUUUUGCUUAUCCUGGCCAUUCUCCUGCUAACCAAUUUAUAUUAUUAUUUUGAUUAUAAUUGUAUUAGCUCCCAUUCUGAGCCAGAUGCCAUCAGCUUAUAAAUAGCAUGUAUUGUCAGAGACACUUAACUGAGAAGACAAAUGAUUCCCAUUUAGGAUGGGAAUUUUUGUGCAAUUGACAGGGAGCAUUAACCCUUUGAUUACCAUAAGCCUAUAGACACAUAGGUACCCCCAAAUGUUGGAGGAAUGGCACAAGCUAGCAAACCAAACACUGUCAAAUCAUGGGAGCUUAAGACCCUGGAAGAAAGUGCCCAGGAGAUGGACUCUUAGUUUUAAGAAAAGUUAAAUAAGUGUAACAUUUUUGGUGGUCCUUUUCUUCACUUGAGCAGAAUGACAAUAUUUUACUAGUCCACCAAGAAAGAAAUCGAGAUUUAAACCAACUUCUCACCUUUUGUGCAAGGCCUAACCUCAGUAGCUAUUAAAAAUAAAUGGGAUUUAAAUAGAUGCAGAAGCACCUAUUUAAUUUUUAAUUUCACGCUCUUGUAUUUUGCAGAGCAAUUUUAGGUCAGCUUGUGAGGGCUGGUUGAGGGGAAAACAGCCCUAAGAGACAGCUGGGAGAGAAACAGGUUUUCAAGUGCAAGACAAAGUCGUUAGCUCAGGGUUCAGCUGUUACCAACUCUGCAAGUGACCUCAGCUCAAUAUCCUUAUCUUGAAAAUGGAAAUGAUAAUGCUUACUGUGUCUUUAUGAGAUGUGAUGGUAUCCAUGAUUGGUGGCUUUGAGCUGAAAGUUUGAGGGUGGAACUUCUCUUUUCUUCCCUAGGGGUCUCCAUGUUUGUAGGUCAAAGUUCCAGGUACAGGGAAGGCAUUGGCUUUGCUCUGUCCUGUGUCUGUGCCUUUGUUACACAUGGUGACCAGGACAGUCAGCCACAGUGUCCAGUUACCCUGGGUCAUCUCAUUGAAGAGCCAAGGAGAGGCAAAUGUCAUUCUUCCACAUCCUGCUAUUCACCUGGGAUCACCAGCCUCUCUGUUGCCUUCUCCCUGUCACCCAGGGCGAGUGACUUGUGGGGACGGCUCUGUGGAACCCUUCUCUCUCUUGCUGUCAUGUGCAAUUUGUUUCACCAGUAACUCAGGUGGAUAGUAAUUUUUCAAUCACAGCUUAUCUCACACCCUUUACUUUAUUUUCUGGGUCCUGCUUACUGAGUCUUUACCACACACCAUGCAUUCAUGCUUAGCCUUUGCUUAUGUUGUCUUCUUUUUAAAUGGAGAGAACUGUGGACAAGAGAGGUUACGUGAGCGCCCCAGACUGGACAGCUGUUCAGUGGUGGGCCUGCCUGCCUCGGGAGCCCUGAGGGCCUCACCCUCUGUUUCUCAUGCCUUCCUGGCACAGUUGUCUUCCAGCUGUUCUCUCCACCCCGGCCCUCCCGCAGGCUGCCACCAGAUGCAUCUCCACACACUGCCGUUCUGAUCGGAUUUCCGCCUCAAAAACUGCCCAUUGUUUUAUAACACACCAGCCCUCUACAAGUUGACCUUGUGAGUUUUUGUCCCUCCUGCUUUCCCAAAACCAGUUCUCAGAUACAGCCCCAUGUUCUGUGGCCUAGUUCCUACAUACAACUUGUGCCUUUGCACAGUACCUUUCCUCUACUUGAAACAGCCUCUCUUCACCUCCAUCUCCCAAUCUCCAAGCCAUCCUCGAGGGCCGAGCACAAAUUCUGGGUCUCUGAUGCCUUCUAGGACUGGCCCAACUCGAAGCCAUUUCUCUCCCCUUGGAGUUUAGGGGGUACUUAUCAUAGAAUCGCUCAGAUGGCAUGAUAUGUGAGGCCUGGCAGUGAACUUAUUUUCUAUUUGUCAAGAUCCCCUAAAAGGAUCUUGGAGUUUACAGGUGAGAAAGCCACAGAGGGGUUAAUGACAGUAUUGGGACCAGCGUCCAGUUUCCCCAAAUGCCAGACUGGUGAUUUUUUCUACUGUAGCUUUCUAUCUCUGUCCUUACUUGGGCAAAGACUACAUCCUGUCUGUAUUUAUUUGUAUUAGCUAGUGGAUAUUCAAUAAACAUUUGUAGAAACCAAGGAAAA